AGGUAUUUUAGUAUUUUAUUCUUGAGAAAUUUGAUUUAUGUAGAAACUUGAACAUGUAAAUGAGAGAAAAAAAAAUAAAUAUAUAUAUAUAUUAUAUAUUGUAUAUGCUGUUAAUGAGUUAAUAUGGUGCUUGCUCCUAGUUGGAAAUUUAUGUAGUCAUCUACCUAUGAUCAAAUAAAGAUGAAAAAUAAAAUAAAAUUGAGAGCAUCUUCCUCUCCCCUGCUUUGCUCAUCCCUUGUUCUUCCACUUCAGCCCCACUAUUACACCAUUUUUUUCAGCCACAAUUAUAAUAGCUCCAUGAGCAUUAAGUCCCUUUCAAAUUCUGCUGACAUUCAAAAUUGGAAUCUGCUGGUGAUAUAUGAUAGCGUUAACAUAUUGUACCAUUUUGGCCAGUGUACGCAAUAUUAUUGCAUCCAACUUUGCAUAUUAACAUCAGUGGCCACAGUUACACGAUUUGAGUGCACAGAAAGGUUUCAAAAGUUGUCCCACAGAGAACAGUCGUUCAAAGUGAGAGAGUUUUGAAAGCUUAAUUACAAGUUCAUGUUGUUUACAACCUCAAAAAGCUUUCAUACUUGCUUACAAACCUGUAUUUCCAAGUUCUGCAAACCUUGGAAUAUCACUUCAUCCAAAUCCCCUUCCAAAGCAGGAAAAAAUGGCAGCAGCUUUGAUUGGAGAGGCUCUCAUCUCUGCUUCUAUCGAGGUGUUGUGUGACAGAGUUACUUCAGCCGAGUUCAUAGACUUAUUUCAGCAGAAGAAACUUGAUGAAACACUCCUCAUGAACCUGAAGACGACACUGUUGAUUUUGUUUGCGGCGCUCAAUGAUGCAGAGGAGAAGCAAAUUGUGAACCCUGCUGUGAUAGAGUGGCUUAACAGCUCAAGCAUGCUGUCUUUGAUGCAGAGGACUUACUUGAUGAGAUUGACACUGAAGCUUUGCGAUGCAAGCUGGAAGGUGAGGAUCAAACCCACAAUAAUUAACCAACAAGGAUCUUUUUGAUUGUUUGAAAGGAGGGUCUUUGAUGAUUUGAAAGGAGAGGGUUGCUUCAUUUCUGUUGGAUGCUUAAUUAAAUCUUAUCUGGACUUGAACAAGGAUUAGGUUAGCUGUAUAAUUCGUGGUAAACACCUUUUUCUAAGGUUCAUUUAGACUCCUAUUACGAUUAAUUUGUUGUUUCUAAUUUGGACUUGUAGGAACAGACCAAAUAUGUUCACACGUGGCAUCGUUCAAGUCAUCAUCAUUUCAGACAAAAUCAGCCUUCAAGUGUCUGCUGACUCAAUGAACCUUUCUAGAUAUAUCAAGUGCAAUGGAAAUUCAAGAGUUACAUAGAGAUUUGUAAACAUUUUGAAGAUUGCAACACCUGCAAGUGAGAUAGGUGGUGACGAAAUCAGAGCUGAUCUUGAAGCCUCUGAUGCCCCUGUCGUUGCAAGUUGCACCUGAGAACAUGGUUUUUUUUUGGGUAAAAAACCAGCAACAUGUUCGGGGCUGGCAAUUCAAUCCCUGAUGAACUUGAGAAGCAAAGCUCCAGUAAGGAAAUUGGUCGAGGUCACGACAGGGAUAAUUGAUGGUGAAAUGGAUGCUAUUUCUUAUUGCAGCCUGUUCUCAAAGUUCUUGUUGGCAAAAGCAAGAGAUGGAGUAUUUUGAUUGGGAGGAGAGAUAAUGACAUGUGUUGACAAUUCUAGAACAGCCCAUCUGAGUUCUUUUGUCAGGCUGCAUCAUUUAAUCCCAGCAAAAAUCCAGUUUUUGCUAAACAAUCAAAUUGUACACAUUUUUUCUUUUCGAGGAAUUUAACAUUACACAUUUUUUCAUUUUUUCAUCAAACAGUUUUCUAAUGCAUUUGUUGUCCCAAGUUACAAUGAGGAAUUUGGAUUGAGUUUCUUGUGUUAAUAACAUUAUACUUUCAUGGAAUGGUUUAUCUUCUUUUUCUGGACAAAAAUAUUUAGAUUAAUUUCUUGGAAUAAUUUUUUAAUAAUUUUUUAAUUGCAGUAGCGAAAAAAGGAAAAUUGUAUUUUUCAAAACCAAUCUUAAGUCCAGUUUCCUCUUCUUGGUCGUCACACUUGGAAAUUGCUAACCAUAUAUAACUUGGGGUAACAAUCUUAGUCCGAAUGUGUACGAUCUUAGUCCGAUCAAUGGCUACGCGUAUUGGCUCGGCCUUGGGGUCUACCAUUCCAGUGUACAAGCUUCCUGGGUCUUGGGGCAAUUCCUUCAAAUUGUACACAUGUUUUCUUUGAGAAGCAAGGCUCUAGUAAGGAAAUUGGUUAUGUAACAAAUUUUGGUCCCUUUGGAUGGAAUGAUUUACAAUGAGGAAUUUUAUUAUUAUUAUUUUGUUUUUGUUGUUAGUGUAAUGAAAAUGAUCUAGGUUCAUACACUGGGUAUAGCUCUAAUUUGGCCAAUUUCAUUAUUUUAGUUUCUUCAUAUUUUCAAUUAUUAUAAUUUGGUGCGUUGUUUUUUAAAAACAUUCAUGAGAAUCUCCAUUUUUUAGGUGUUUAAGUUAUUCAUCCACAACGGUUUUAUAAUACCGUCAUCUUUUCAAACACAACGAUGAUUUUUUAAUCUAUCGUCGUUGUUUUCUGAUCGUCUUUUUCACUUUUUGUAGUAGUGUCAAUAAGUAAGAUGAAAUAAUACAUUCACAAUCUGUUUAAAUUUUAAAUUAAAAAAAACACAAGAAAAUUUUAAAUAAGUAAGUAAUUUUAAAUAUAUAUUUCCAUUGUUUUGGUUUUCUUUUCAUAUUAGUUUUCUACUAGCUGCUAAUUUCAUUUAAAUUGUUUUUCUUACUUCAUUUAACUUUUAAGCAUGCAGAUGCAAUCAUGACUUCUUCUUUUUUUCAAUAGACUGAUUCUCUUCCCACAUAUAUAAUGCUCUCUAAGUAUUCGUAAUAUGAGUAGGAAUUUAUUUUCAUUUCACAAGAAUUGUCCAUCAAAUUCUGAUAGGUUUGUCGAUAGCACAAGCAUGCACAUAUAGACACUACAAGAACUUUGUUUCUUCAUUUUGUUUCCUAAAGAUUUGUUGGCUUCGUGCAGAUGAAUAACAAGUCUCUCUGUCCUCUAUUUCUUCUUUUUCUUUUUUAACAAUUCAUAUUCUACUUUCUGUUUUCACCCAGUAAAAAUUGAUUUUAGACAUGGGCUUCUAAAUUAUGUGCGGAUAAUGGUUGCAUUUAUAGAAUAUCCAUGGGCUUCUAGUCACCGUGGUUGUUGAUUCAGCAUGUCAUAUUACUCUUGGACUAGCUGUUGACACUACUACAUUUUACACUUUGCGCGACGAAGAACAAAACGUCGCGCAAAGUCGCAUUUAGUCGCCCCAAUUUCAGCGCGACAAAAACGUCGUCGCGCAUAUUCCGUCGCGCGAAGAUCGUGAAGAAAGCCUUUGCACGACGAGGUACAACCCUUCGUCGCGCAAAAGUGUGCGACGGGUAAACCAUCGUUGCACCAACGGUGUGGAGACGAAACAACCCUUCGUCGCAAAAAUAUUUGCGCGACGAUAAAUUAUGCGGCGCACGUAUAUUUGCGAGACGACGGGAAUUGCGCGACAAAACAUUAUUCGUCGCGCAAAAUAUGUAUGGGAGACGUAUAUGUUCGUCGCAGAACAAUUCGCGCGAUGAGAAAGUUUUCGUCGCACAUAUAAUUGCGCGACGAAAAAUUAUGUCGUCGGCCAAAUAUUUUGCGCGACGAAACAUUUCGUCGCGCAAAACGUGUUAUGUGUUCGUCGCGCAUGAAUUAAAAGUGAUAAAAAAAUAUUUGAUUUUUUUUUGUUACAUGUUGGUUUGCGCGACGAAAGAUUUUCCGUCGCGCAAAAAUAAUAUUACAAUUUUUUUUUUAUUUAUAUUUUUUAUUUGAUAUAAAAUUGGUUUCUUUUUAUUGAUUAAACAAUGAAAUUGCAAUAAAAAUAAAUUAGAAUAAAAUUUUGUUAUAAAAUAAAAUAAAAUAAAUGUAUUACAAAUAAAAUAAAUACACUAAUCAAAUAAUGAAUCAAAAUCAACCGAGUCGUCGCCAGUAUGCGGCUCGGAGGGCGGGGCGUUCACCGGGGCAGUGGUCUGGUGGGGAUGCCCGGGAUGGACGGGCUCAGAGGUCGGCGCAUCAAAAUGCGGGACUGGAAUGCCGGACUGUGCGAGGGACUGCAGAAUGACCGACAUCUGGCUCUGAAGAGUGGCCACCUGUGCUGUCAAAGCAGUGACCUGACUGUUUGACUGCGCCGAUGAACGAGGUCGAGGUUCCCUCCGCCGGGCAUUCCCCAUCCCUCGACAAUAUGUCCCCGGCCUCCUCCCGAGAGUCUGAUCCAACGUCUCCGUCAAUAUCUGAAAUCCAGCAUCCUGUGGAGGAGCCACAGACUCGAUCGGAGUCUCGGGAGGAAGCUGGGAGGCGGACUCCUGAAGAACAAGCUGGCUCCUCUCCACCAUCGUCGUCUGUUGAACAUAACAUAAAAUAUAAAUUAAAACAUGCAUAUAAAUUGAAUGCGUAACAUAAGAAUUAAAAUUAAAUAAUACUUACAUGAAGGGACUCGGCCAACUCAUUCCCGGGUCGAACAUAAACGUCACCAAAGACGUCGAUCUCUGGGAACUUGGACCCCUCCUAAAUUGAACAAGAGAAGAAAAAUAUUAGUAUGAAAAAAAUAAAUUAAUAAAAAUGACAUUAAAAAUGAAAUAAAAAUUUUGUGAUUAUUACCCGACGCCGUGCAUCCAUCCUAUAAGAAAAGGGUCUGGAGCCGGAAUGGUGGAGAAGGGUCUUCUUCUUCCUAUUACCCUUAUUCACUUGGGCUUUAUUCUGUUAUACAAAAAAUGAAACGUAUUAGUUAAAAUAUAAAAAAUUAAAUAAUAAUGAAAUAAAAAAAUAAAAUAAACAUUAAUAAGUAAUAAGUAAUAAUUAAACAAAUAUAAUUAAAAAAAUACCGCAAAUUCGGGCGCUUGAAAAUGAGCGCAGAGCCACUCCCAACUAUCCUCCCGCCCCUCAAGCUCCUUCGGGCAACCCUCCUGAAGAGCGACUUGCGGAUCAUCAUAGGCCUGAAAAUGGUGGUGCAAGUCGCUCUUCCACUGCUUGUACCUCUCAGCGAAGAGUCGGUUGACGUACGUCAACGACUCUUCGUCGAGAUCCUCCAAGUUAUAGUUCGUCUGCAAUCAAUUAAUUAGAUACGUUAAGUAAUAGAAAUAUACACAAUUUUAAAGAAAAAUAAUGAAAAUGUAAGGUACAUACCGACAACUGGCCGUGAAUCUCCGCCUGGAUCUCGUCAGGCAUGACCCUCCAAGACUUCCAUUGCAUCGGGCAAUGGGUCCGCACGACGUGGCCAAUGUCGUGGGCCAAGGAGCUAUGCAACUUCGCCGUCGGUGCAGCACGAUGGCGCUCGUCGUAUCCGAUGCUGAUACGACUGUUGGUCACCCGGGUGACCUUCGCCGUCUUCAGCUGACGACACGGUCCUCGGGUGUUCCUCUUCGCUGCAAAGAAAUAAGGUAUUAAUGUUAAAUAAAAAAACAUUGUCAAAUUUCAAUAUAAAAUUAACAAUACAAAAGUGUAGUUAUACCUGGCUGUGAUCCCGAGGCACCAGUACCGUCGGUCGAUGUCGUGUCGAUGGUGUCGGUGGGCCGGUGCCGCCGCCUAGCACUAGCUGGUUGCGCCACGGAUGACGCAGAUGACACAGGCGCCUGGGGCGCCCCGGGACCAACCACCACGUGGUCCAACAAAGCAGGAGCAGUGGCAGCAGAUGCCGACUGAGCCAGGGGAUCCGAACUCGGUGCAGUCGUCAUCGACCUACCACGUCUAAUCAAGUCUGACAUCUGCACAUAUAAUUUCAUUCAGAAUGUAAACUAAUUAAUUAAAAGCAUAGCCUGACCUAGGGUUUGGAAUUUCGGAGUAUCCGGGACUCCGAUCAACGAUCGGUCGAAUCCUAAACGAUCCUAGAAACACAAAGGUACAACUACGCGAGUUUCAGUUCGAUCCAACGGUCCGAACAUAUCAAACCUGGAAAUCGCACAAUAGGCGAAAUUCGAUCAAGACUCAAACGGUAACCAAAUUCAAAUCCGAGCAAACCUACGCGCUCGUGACAAACAGGGGAUCGCUCUGGGACACAAUGCCCCACUGCCACAGCAUCCCACGCGCCGGCAGCGCGUGGGUGUCCAAAGCGAUAACAUUCGCCGGAAAAUUCUAAAAACUAACGGCCAAGGUUCCUACCCUAGGUUGAAAACAAUAUUUGGCGCCACUUUUGUUCUCGGACCUACCCCGAAAAAUGGCCGGAAGUGGCCGGAUUUGAAAUUGCCAAACCGGCCAAAACCUAGGGUUUUAAUUCCUAUUUCCUAUACCCAUCAGCUAGAGCACAAAAAAUAGUCGAGAAAUCAUACCUCAGGCGUCGGAAAUGGUGGCCGGAGGAGAGAGAAAACGGCCGGCGAGGAAUCGGUGAAAAACCGACGAUGUGCGACGGCAGGCUCGACGGCGAAGGCAGGGGAGGCUAUGGCAGGAGCGGCGGUGGCUGAGGUGACGGCGGAGAGAGAGGGCUGAGGUGACGGCGGAGAGAGAGGCAAACGGAGGAAAAAACCAGAAAUGGGGAAGAAGGAGGCAUCGCGACGUUUCUGCAAAUUUUUACGACUUUGCGCGACGAAUCACAUCAUUCGUCGCGCAAAAUGCUAUUAAUGAAUCUUGCGCGACGCUAUAUCCGUCGCGCAAGAUCUGUCAGAACGCCAAAUUCUGAAAGUGGAUUAGGGUCUGUAAGUUUUGCGCGACGAAAUAGACAUACUUCGUCGCGCAAAAGGCUGUCUUUCCGCCAAAAUUUUGGGAUUUAGGGUUUAGCGGGAGGCUGAAACUGAAGGGUUUGCGCUUUUGCGCGACGAAGACGGUAAACGUCGCGCAAUGGUAACCUUGCGCGACGGAACGUAUUAUAUUCGUCGCGCAAAAGGCUAUCUUUCCGCCCAAAUUUUGGGAUUCAGGGUUUAGCGGGAGGCUGAAGGGUUUGCGCUUUUGCGCGACGAAGACACUAAACGUCGCACAAAAGGCUGUCUGCUGAAAUGAAUGGUUUCUGCUUUUGCGCGACGAAGACAAUAAACGUCGCGCAAAACGUUGUCGUUCCGCCAACAAUUUGGGGUUUAGGGUUUAGUGUGAAAACUGGCGCCCAGAUUGCGCGACGAAGAGUACAUAUUUCCUUCGCGCAAUCUAUUUCACUUUCACUUUGCGCGACGGAUAUGUUGGUUCGUCGCGCAAUCUUCAAGAUUUUCAUUGAAAUUUUCACUAAGUGUUCAAAGGGGAUGGAGGUGUGAAAACUGGCGCCCAGAUUGCGCGACGAAGAGUACAUAUUUCCGUCGCACAAUCUAAUUCACUUUCACUUUGCGCGACGGUUAAAUUGUUCGUCGCGCAAAAUGUAGACCCUAAACCCCCUUGUAAACCCUAAACCCUGAACCCUAAGCCAUAAACCCUAAACCCUAAAAUAGUUUCAAUGAUCCAACCGGCAAACUUAUUGUUUGAAACUUGGAGAUCAUAUACGCCAAAAAUCAAGAAGACCAAACAUUCAGAUAUCAGGGAACGGGACUAAAUAUUUCGACGGUUAUAAAUGAAAAGUCAUGAUUUAACGGUUAUUGUAACUCCGAUUUUGAUCAAUUUUGACAGCAGCAUUUGUUGACCCUAUAUGAAUACAAUGACUGAAUUUGAUCUUCAAUUUCAGAUUUUUACACUAGGGGAUACCACAUAAACGUGAAGUUACAUUUGCACAAAUGUAUAAACAAAUUUUAGGGUUUUUGGUGAAUAUAUGAUUUUGAUAGCACAUGCAGUCUACGAAACAAGUUUCAGUCAUCCAGCCGUCAAACUUGUUUUUUUAGACUUCGAGAUCAUAGACAGCAAAAAUCGGACAAAAAAAACAUUCAGAGAUUAAGCAACGGGGUAAAACUUUUCGACGGUUCUAAAUAAAAAGUGAUGAUUGAACGGUUAAUUUAACUCCGAUGUUGAUGAUUUUUUGCAGCUACAGUCCUACACUCCAUAUGAAUACAAUGAACUACUUCGAUCGCCAAUUUUAAAUAUAUAUGUGUGUAUAUAUUAUACUAUAACGUUACCUAAUAUAUAUUUGCGCGACGAAAGUUUGCUUAUCGUCGCGCAAAAAUGCCAUACGCGACGCAUGUAUAUAUGCGUCGCGGAAACUAUGCGCGACCAGUUGUAUUCGUUGCGCAAACAUUACGCGACGCUUAUGUAUGCGUCGCGUAUGGUAUGUUUGCGCGACGAUAUGGAGCCCUUCGUCGCGCAUGGAUUUGGCGCCAUAAAUCCUCAUUGAUUUCAAAUUGUGUAUGCUUUGUAUUUUUUAGAAAGGUUUUGUAUUCAUCAUUUUUUAUGCUUUGUAUUUUGUGGAAAGGCUUUGAAAUAUUCAUUUCUUUUGUUAUUUUUAUUGAAGCUUUAACUUGUUCUGUUCCGCAGAAAAUUCCAAUGAAGUUUGUGAUGAAAUAUGGAGAAUGAAUACACAACUACAUAUGGACAACUACACAUAUUCAAAGAUUUGUAUUACACAAAAUUAAUACACUAACAUAAUAAAUUUACAAAUAAAUUCAUUAUUCAUCAUCUGAACUAUAAUAACUUUCGUUAUCGUCGCUAGCUUUAACUUGUUCUGUUCCGCAGAAAAUUCCAAUGAAGUUUGUGAUGAAAUCUGGAGAAUGAAUACACAACUACAUAUAGACAACUACACAUAUUCAAAGAUUUGUAUUACACAAAAUUAAUACACUACAUAAUAAAUUACAAAUAAAUUCAUUAUUCAUCAUCUGAACUAUAAUAACUUUCGUAUCGUCGCUAUCAUCACUCUCGGUCUCCCAAUCUUCUUCCUCCUCCUCCUCUAUAACUGCAUCAUCGGCGUUGCUAGGGCCCACUGCAACAUCGUAUCGGGGAAGAUCACCGAGGUCAAUUGUAAUUGACUGAAUCGGUAUUUCGACUGAAGACACUCCUUCUAUUUGAAACGGUUCUUGUAUAACAUUUGUAUCUCGAAGUGUUUCCGCAUCAUUUUCCAUUGAAGAUUCUAAACGAUGGUCAGCCACAUUGUCGACGUCGUUGUCACUUGGGUCUAGUUCUGGUAUAUUAUACACGUUCCUAUGAUCCAUCUUCUGCACAACUUUCCACCCGUUCCCGGCUUUAGGGUCAUCUAGAUACACAAUUUGGGACGCCAUGUUUGCCAAAAUGUACGGGUCGUCAUCAUACCAAGUUCUGUUAAUAUUCACAGACAGUACUCCAUGGUCGAUUUUAACACUUCCCGCCCUAUUUGGGUUGGUAUCGAACCAUCGACACUUAAACAUGAUGACUUGGUAUCGAUCUUUGUAAAGCAAUUGCACGACAGUUGUCAGUUUGCCAUAGAAAUCAAUGUCUGUACUUUCGCCUCCACCUGGGACAUGAACACCGCUAUUUUGCGUACACAACUUGUCAUCUCGUGCGGCCCCUAAAAAUUUGACGCCGUUAACAUUACAACCCGAGAACAAUUCAGCGCGAAUUGGGCCGAACGCCAAGUUAUAUAACUCAUCACUGUAAGUGGGGGAAUUCGAUGAUUUCAAUUUAUUCACCUAAUAGUAUACAAAACCAUUUACAUGUUAGUCUGACAAAAUUAAAUACUAAAAUUUAUAUUUGUCAAUUACAAAACACUUAUAACUUACAGAAUCCAAAAACCAUUGUGGAAAUAAUUCACGGUGUUUCCGGGCAACCAAAUGUGAUGGAUGUUCUCGCUUCAUCAUCUGUUCAUGCUCAUCUAAGUAGGCCAUUAUCUCAUCACAAUUGUUCAGUACGAACCAAUGCGCUACCUCCAUGUCAUUUCUAGAAAACGACUCUCCUCGUCCAGGAUCUCCAAAUGGUCGUGCGCUUUGGGCAAAAACAGAAAGUUUUUCAUUUCUCAUACCUCCGUCAUUAUUGCGGUGAGGACGAUUGAAAACCGUCUCCACAUCUUUUAAAUACAUUCCACAGAAAGUAAGCGACUCAUAUUGAACCCAAGCCUCUAUAAUUGAUCCUUCGGGCUUUGCCCUGUUGCGUACACUUUUUUUCAGCUCUCCGAGAAGCCUGCCAAAAUAAAACGAUAUGAUACAAAUUAGCAAAGUGUCGAUAAUGAUGCAUACACAAAUGAUAAAGAUUAUAUACCUUUCUAUUGGAUACAUCCAGCGAUAGUUGACAGGACCAGCAAGCAAUGCCUCUUCUGGCAAGUGAACCAUCACGUGCAUCAUACUUAUAAAGAAAGCUGGAGGAAAUAUCAUCUCAAACUUGCAUAGGACUUGGACAAUGUCAUGGCGCAACUGAAACAUGUCUGUCCUUCGCAAUGUUUUUGCCGUCAGUUGGGAAAAAAAUCUGGAUAACAACAUGAUUGGCUUCACCACAUCUUCCGGCAGUAAGUGUCGAAUACCCACAGGAAGUAGGCGUUGCAUGAACACAUGGCAGUCAUGGCUCUUAAGUCCAGUAAAUUUACCCCCAUCGACAUUCACGCAACGUGCGAUAUUAGAAGCAUACCCAUCGGGAAAUUUGACAGACGAUACAAACUUUAGAAACUCCUUUUUGUCAUUCGGUUUCAUAGAAAAGAAUGCAAGAUCCCUUCUAGCUUUAUCACUGUCCCUAUUCAUCCAUAAACCCCUUCGUAUGCCCAUUCUUUCCAAAUCAAGACGAGCUUUGAUCGUGUCCUUCGUCUUCCCCUCGAUAUCUAGAAUCGUGCCCACCAAUGUGUCGAAAACAUUUUUCUCAACAUGCAUCACAUCUAGAUUGUGCCUCAAUUUCAGUUUCGACCAAUAUGGGCGCUCAAAAAACAUAGACUUGUGCGUCCAGUUCAAAUGUGUAGAAGGUCGGGUCCGACUAACUGUUUUCCCGAACGGAGCAAAAUCCAAACGGUUCAGCUGUUCCAAGAUCUCAUCACCGGACCAUUCUCUAGGUCUGAGGCGACGCUCUGUGUUCCCGUCGAACUCUUUAUCUUUUUCUCGCCACUCGUGGUCCCAUGGCAACCAUCUCCGAUGACCAAGGUAACAAACUUUUCCCGCGUGCCAACCAGAAGUUACAUCUUCCUUGCAUACAGGACAUGCCAUAUAACCCUUUGUGCUCCACCCAGAAACCAUUGCAUAUGCUGGAAAAUCAUUCACAGUCCACAUAACUGCUGCUCGCAAAGUGAACAUCCUCCCAGUUGAUUUAUCGUACGUGCGAACACCGUUUGUCCAUAAAUCCUUCAGCUCAUCAACCAGAGGCCUUAAGUACACAUCAAUUGACCUGCCAGGAUCCUCAGUUAUCAAAACAGUCAUCAUCAUGUAUUCUUUUUUCAUGCAUUUCCAAGGCGGCAAAUUAUAUGGGAAUGCGAAAAUCGGCCAAGUGCUGUGGUGUUGGUUUAGAACCCCAUACGGAUUGAAUCCGUCAGUGGCAAGUCCCAAUCUAACAUUUCGGGGAUCAGCAGCAAAUUCGGGGAACGUUCGAUCGAACUCUUUCCAUGCCUCCCCAUCUGCAGGAUGCCGCAUCACAUCAUCGUCUACCCGUUUUUCCUUAUGCCAUCUCAUGUCUGUGGCAGUAUGCGUUGACAUAUACAAUCGCUGCAACCUAGGUUUAAGGGGCAGAUAACGCAUGACUUUUUGUGGUAUCUUAGUCGUUCUAUUCUGGGAUGUCAGUUUGAACCUCGACUCAUUGCAUAUAGGGCAUGUAUCCAACGUUUCAUGCUCUUUGUAGAAUAACAUGCAAUUGUUUUUGCAAGCGUGGAUUUUUUCAUAACCCAAUCCAAGACCGUGCAACACCUUCUGUGCAUGUUUAUGGUCUUUCGGCAAACAAUUGUCCGUCGGAAGCAUUCUCUUGAAAACCCCCAAAAAGUAAUCAAAACACAAGUUCGACAUACGAUACUUUAUUUUUCCGUGCAUUAGCUCCACAAUGGCAGUGAGAACGGAAAACCUCUCGCACCCCGGGUAUAACUCUUGGUUGGCAUUUUUUAACAGUUUUUCAUACUGUUCAAACUCCGCACUGUCUAUUGGUGUAGGCACGUCAUCUUCCCCUUCCUGAUUGAUGUUGGUCGAUGCGAAUGGAAAAGCAUCCUGUAUAAUACCCAUGACUUGAUCAUUAGGAUCCACAAUAGGUUCAACAUUGUCCACUCUCGGGGCAUUUGAAGACGAAGCAUGGUCUACUUGUUCGCCGUGAAGGUUCCAAAUGCUAUAUGUUUCAAUCAUUCCAUUCCUUACUAAAUGAAAUCCAACAUUUUCAAUUGUCUCCCACAACGUGUUGUUACACCUCCUACAAGGACAACGGAUUCUAGUUGCACCCGGGUUGUGUCUACGUGCAAACUCAAUAAAAUCCUCGAUUCCAUCCAAGUAUUCGUCUGCGCAUCUAUUCGGGUUCUGUAUCCACCUUCUGCUCAUAAUUCCUGAAACCACAAUCACGACACAACAAUCACAACAACUUCAUACGAAGUUAUAAUGUCACCUUAUGCCUCCGGUAAGGGCCCUAUCCCAUUCGGGAAUGCAUAGUCCUGUCACGUAACCUACGGCUACAUGAGAUUAGAUUUCGACGUGGAUUAAUUUCAGCAGCAUCUCGACACAGUUCUUGAAGUGGGCAUAGGUAUAAAUACCUACGUACCACCCGAAGAACGUACCGAGAUGACACCGAAAUCUCCACAAUCGAAACCUAAUCCUGUAGCCGAAGAUUAUGUGACAACACUAUGCAUUACCAAACUGUCCAAAUAAUGGGACAAUUCAAGAAUUAAUUGGACCGCAGUCAUGCAUUACGCAUCCAUGCACGAAAUUCAACUAAUCUCGAACGGGAAACUACGUGUUACUAAACAUAAAAAUAAAAGUACGAAGUUAAUUUCAAUUAACUUCGUACAUCACAACACAUUGUGCUAUGUCACGCACAAUUUCACAACAUUAUACACAUAUAACUUCACAAAAAAAUUACAAACAUAACAAACAAACUUUUACAAUAACAUACCUUCUCAAUCGUUCUCCACCAAUCACAAAUAUCCCUAACGAUAACAAAAUUAAUAGCGUUACUACGAAUUUACAUUAAUACAUUUAAACUAACGACAAAAAAUACAUACCCAAUGAACGUACUGAAUUCACAGUAGAGCAACGGCAGAGAGAGUGAGAGAGAGGUAGAAUGCAGUGGGAGAGUGAGAGAGAGGCAGAAUGCAGAAACUGCAUUCUGCCUCUGCAAUGGAACUGGCUAAAAUGAAGAAGAAGGACUUUGCGCGACUAACAAUCCAAUCCGUCGCGCAAAAUGCCGUCGCGAAAACCCACUUUUCCGUCGCACAAAAAAACAUUUCCGUCGCGCAAUUACCUGCCGACAUCAGGUUUUUUGCGCGACGAAUACAAUUAUCCGUCGCACAAACAUCCGUCGCGCAAAUAACAUUAUUCGUCGCGCAAGGUUUAUAUUACGUCGCGCAAAUAACACUUAUUUCGUCGCGCAAGAAAUUACACUUUACGCGACGAAGGUAAUUCCGUCGCGCAAAAAAGUUUUUUCCACCCUGCAUUUUGCCGCCAAAAUUAAGUAACCCUCGUUUUCUUACGCGACGGUACAUAUUUCCGUCGCGCUAAGGCGUCUUUUGCGACGAAAAUGUUCGUCGCGCAAGAUUCUGGCGCCAAAAACAUAAACUGGGGAUUUUUCCCCGACCUUUGCUCGACGAAAUUAGUUUUGGUCGCGCAUAGAUUGUUUGCGCAACGAAGAUUGUUCGUCGCGCUAGUGUUCUGCUGUUUGCGCUACGGUAUUUUUUUUUCGUCGCAAUAGUGAUUUUUGCGCGACGAAAAUAUAUUCGUCGCGCAAACGUCCGUCGCGCAAAUAGUAAAUCGUAGUAGUGUGAUUUGGUUUAGACUUGGUUUAAUUAUCAUUGUUGUGGUUGGUUCACCAAAAAGAUUUGGCUUAGAAUUACCAGUUUUGUUGUUGGUUUAGUUAUGCUUGGCAUUUGAGGAUCCUAUGCUUACUUGUAUGGGUAAUACAUUUUAUUGAUCGUUUCAUAUACUAAUUAUGAACUUUUAGUUCCAUUGUGCAUUUAAGAGUACACAUAUUUCAUAUGUAAUUCGAAAGUUUGUCGCUGAAAUUUCUGAGAAUUUGAAACUAGAUAAGCACACCUUGCACAAAGUUCAUAUAUUUUCUUCCAGCAAGUCUGUCUAUUAACCCCCCUUAUCUGAAAUUAAUUGUUAAAAGUUCUGAUUCAUCUUUAAUCAUUGUCUUACCCUUGUUGAAUAACACUCCUCAUUCUAAUUUAUAUUCGAAGUUUGAGGUUUCAAUUUCAAUUGUGGGCUUUGAUUUUACAGAUUUUGUUUGUCAAUUUCAAUUUGGACAAAGCAUAUGCAAACAAAGUAAGGCAUUAUCUAUUAUUUGGAUCAUUUCCAUAUGUUUAUAUGUUUUUAAUAUCAUUUGCCUAUGUAGUUGACAUGUUAUAACAUUUUCGUAGUGUUGAAUAUAUAUAUAUAAUAAUUUUAUUUUAGUGGAUGUGAGAUCUCAGUUUGUUGCUUUAUAUAAUUAUUUCUUUGCAAUUUAAUUUUUUUUAUCAGUCAUACUAUUGUUGACGGCUAAAAACCAUCAAGAAACAACUCUUAAGUUUUUUAAAAAAUAAAUAAAUAAAUAAAGAUUUGUUGAUGCUUAAAAAGCAUCAAGAAAAGAUAGUUUCUUGACGGUUUUGUGACGUUUCAUAACCGUCAUGAAACAUUACAUUUUGACGAACGUCUUUCUGAUAGUGGCAUCCGUGACGCUUUCCGAGCCAUCAAUUAAGGGCUAUCGUGAUGCUUUUUAGUUGUCAGCAAAAGGUGUUUUUCUUGUACUGUAUUCACUCAAAAUCGUUUUUCAUUUAGGGUUGCUAGUGUGGUUGAAUGCCAUUUGUUUUGUUAAUGAAUAUUAUACAUUAUGGAUUUUUGUAGAAAUGUCGCUUGAAAUUAUACCUCAGUUUCAAUUUGUCACCUUAAAGAAAAAUUUAAGAGAAAUGUCACCUUAAUUUUUCAAAAUCCACGAUUUGUCAUCUCACUUUAACAUCAUCCAAUUUUCCAUCUAUUUUAAGGGUAUUUUAGUCUUUUCAUUUUCAAGGGAAAAAAAGAGAGGAAGAAAAAGACCUCUCUCUUACUUUCUCCCCCAACCCAACCCCACCCGCCCCCCAAAACACAUCGCAUAGGACCGCCUCCCCCUUCCCCACAUUUCUUUUUUCUUUUUGGCCUACUUUUCCACUAUGUUUAUGUUGAAGGAUCUAAAGUUUUCUUGGUCACCAUCUAUUACGUAGGCUACCGACUUGUUGGUUUGGGUGGGUUGAGGGAAUUUGUGUGUGGAGGGCAGGUGUUCAUGUUGUGUGCACCAAGACCUUAUCGUUGAUGAACUAUGUGACGGCACACACACAAACUCGUUGAGAAUAAAACAAACAUACCACCAAGAGAGUAAAACAAACACACAAGGACACAAAGAUUUAUAGAGGUUCGGCCUCCUGCCUACGUCUUUUUGGUGAUUCACUCGAGAAAUUCACUAGUAUGUAAAAAUAACUUUGGUUACAACUGAACCCCCUUAGCCCUCACAAGAACCUUAGAUCUCUUUUCUCUCACCCUUGCUCAAACCCUUUGAUGCCCUUGUAGACACUCAAGAAUUCACCCUUGAAUUCUAUCUUGUGUUACAUCUUCUCUUCUCCCUUUUGUUAACCUAACCCUAAAAGUCCUAUUUAUAAUGCAUAGGACUUAAGUUACAAGUUAACUUGGAAUAGGAAACAUAAAAUACCCCAAAAAUUGGAGAAAAUCUGUCCAAAUCUAGCCUGCAAAAUCAUCCUUCUGCCGCUCGAGCUGCCGGUGGCGCUCAUGGGAUGGGGGAAUUGGAGAUUUUCUUUUCAAUUUUAAUUGUUUAAAAGAUAUACAAUUUUUUAUUAUAAUAAUUUUUCCAUUUUUAAAAUACACUUGAAAAUAGAAAGCUUAAAAUGCCCUUAAAAAUAGAUGGAAAAUUGGAUGGUGUUAAAGUCAGAUGACAAAUCAUGGAUUUUGAAAAAUUAAGGUGACAUUUCUCUGAAAUUUUUCUUUUAAAAGUGACAAAUUGAAACUGAGGUAUAAGUUCAGGCGACAUUUCUACAAAAAUCCCUAUACAUUACAAUAUUAUAACAAUAAAAUUGGCUAAAAUUGAUAUGUUCCCUCUUUUCUUUUCUUUUUCUCUUUUCCUUUUCAUUUUAUGCUUUGUUGCUAUUGCUAUGUUUAUCCUACAAAUAUAGCAACUUCUCCACCAUUCAUUUGUUAGUGACUACGAUGCUUAGUAACUUCUUCAGCUCCCCUUAUUUCCAUGUACUAACCAGGGACACCAGGUCAGCAUCUUCGGUAAGAAUCCUAACUCAAUCAAACAAUGACAUCUGUAAAUAUUCAAAAUUGGAAUUUGCAUUGUGAUAGUUGAAAGCAUCCUUGUCCCAAAAAAAGCCAAAAAAUAAAAUAAAAUUGAGAGCAUUAAGUCCUUUUCAAAUUAUGCUAAUAUGCAAAAUUGGAAUUUUGAUGGAGUUGCUUCCUUGACUUUUCCACCUUUGUAUCCAGUCCACUUUGCACAAGGAGCCAAGUUUGAGAGAUAGUUUUCUGUAUUUACACCAUCCAGGAGAAAAUUAAAAAACUAUUUCAUGCCAAACUAACUACGGAUUCUUGCAAAGGACCCAUUAGUGUAGUGGUUUGGAGUAUUUACUCCCUCAGGCAAGGUCUUGGGUUCGAGUCCUAGCAUUCAUGUUGUGUGUGUGAGUUUAAUAUGCUAUCACCCCUUCCAAUAGGAAAGGACCUCAAAAAAAAAAAAAAAACUACAGAUUCUUUAAUUGAAAGAAACCCCAUAUUAAUCAUCCUUUGGCACAUAAAUGUUUGGUAAUUGGCAUUAAAGUAUCUAAAGGUUACGAAAUUAAAGAUUUUAAUGCAAACCUAAAAUUGGAAAAGAGGGCACCAAUUCAUGUAAAAUAUGGUGUACUUAGUAGAUCCAACAUAUUUUUUUAGCAACCAAGGACAAUCAUCAUUUUUUUUUUUAAGAACCAAGGAUAGCUUACAUUCUAGUUUGUCCAUCAUGUCAACACAUUUAUAAUUAAAACUUCUUUUUUGGUGAGGUUUCAAUUUUUGUCACUGUAACAAGACCACAAUUGCCAUUCAGUAUGCUAACAUUGUCACUAUGUUUGCCAAUUGCAUAUUAUCUAGAACAUAAAGGCUUUGGUGUUUUGUAUAUCCUCGGGGUGCCAAACCUGUCUUUAUAAAAAUGGUCCUUAUGAUACUACUUUAACAACAAAAAAAUAUAAUAAACUAGGCCUUUGUAGUCACUGAACGAAUGUUUUCUCAUAGAUAUGACUAUUUAAAUGUAAUUACGGGAUUAAAACAUUAUAAUAAAUUGGAGUGAACCAUAACAUUAUAUAUGAUCCAAUCCUUUUCAUAUAUUUUUGUUCAAGACUUUGUUUUAGAAUGCUCUUUUACUAAUUUGGUACAGGUCCCUAAAAUCUACGCCUUUAUGAGGCAACGUCUUUAUUUCUUUGGUUAUUCCAGUUUAGAAUAUAUUUGUACAAAUGAGAUGACUCCCAACAUAAAGUCACAUUCAACCAAAAAGCAUGAAGUCACACACAAAAAGAACACGGACAAUUGCUAAGUUUAUCUUGUAUCCUUAUUUUAUUGAUCCAACCCAAUUGAAAAAUAAAAAAGAUGAUAUAAUAUAUUGUUCACUGCUUACAUCCAUGAGUAAAGUCCUCCAUUUGAAAUUGCGUGAUUAUACAAAAUUGGAAUGAAAAAAGAAAAUCCUACAACUAAAUUUGAUAUAUUCCUUUUCAUUUUAUGUUGGAUGUUAAGUUUUCUUGUUUCUUGUUGAAAAGAAAAAUGAAAAGAAAUAAAUAAAUUACACAGCUAGCAACUUCUCCACCUUCCCUUCUUCCCAUGUACUGACAACAAGGGAGGCCUUCAAUCCAAAAUAAAGACAAGGGAUGCCAGGUCAGCAUCUCAGAUAAGUAUCCCAACCAAAACCAAUCAAAUAAUGACAUAUGUAUCUCUUUUUGUGUUUUGUUCUAUUUCUCUUUGAAUUAACUGCGAAGUUUCAUAAGCGUGUCCUCCUUUUGAAAUUGUGUAUUAUUCAAAAUUGGAAUUUGCUGGUCAUACUUGAUAUAAGCUAAAACAGUUUCCAACAUCUUGUACCAUUUUUUUCCAGUGUGGGUCAUAACUUGAAGAAGCCCACCGACAAUUUCUCAAAAGCUAUUACCAUCCAACUUUGAAAAAUAAAAGUUUCAAAAGUUACCCCAAACAACAGCCCUUGAAAGAGAGUUUUCCAAGGCUAAAGAUUACAAGGAUGUUAUUGGCACAUGCAUUAACGUGUGACAAGAAGUUAGUUAUAUUUAUAAAGUAAAAGAACGAAGUACAUAACAUGUAAGUUGAUGCCAAAUAUUUGAUCAACAGAGCUAAACAUAAAACCACGACAAUAUAACGUUGUUCACCAAAAAUUGUGUUUCGUUGAGGGUCAGUAGUGUAGGUUUCAAGAUACGAUUUAUUUUGUUAAAGAAUAUUCUGAUAUUCUAACAAUAAAAUUGGCUCAAUUUGAUAUGUUUCUUUUUUUUUUUGUUUUUGUUUUCCCUUUCAUUUUAUGCUUUGUUGUGCUAUUGCUAAGUUUAUCCUAGAGACCAGGGAUGCUUAGCAAGUUUCUUCACCUGCCCUUCUUCCCAUGUACUAACUAGGGAUACCAUGUCAGAAUCUUAGAUAAGAAUCCCAACCCAAUCAAACUAUGACAUCUGUAAGUAUUCAAAAUUGGAAUUUGCAUUGUGAUAGUUGAGUGGAAGAAUCGAUUAAGGCUUGAGUGGAAGACAAACUUCAGUGGAGGAAAGUAAUUAAUCUCACAAGACAUAGCCCAUCAGUUGGCUCAUUUUUCUUGAGUGUGUAGUCCUGGCCUUGAGGCGAGGCCACAUUGCUUUGGAGAUUUCUUUCUACUUGGUGAAAUUAUAAUUUAGAAGAAGCAAACUGCGUUUUGCAAUUUGUGCGAUUCAAGCAUAUCUGACACUAGUAAUUAGACCAUAAUCUUUGUCCGACCAGAAAAUAAGAAAAGUUGUCUUGUACCAUUUCUGCCAGUGUGGGUCCCACCCACCCCAUACGAGUAAUUUGAAGAAGUCCACCGACAAUUUCCCAAAAGCUUUGGCGUCCAACUUUGCCGACCCCAUCCCCAUGUGAGGCCAUAGAAAAGUUUUCAGCCACAAUCAAAGAAGGGAACAGUCCUUGAAAAGAGAGGGUUUUCCAAGGCCAAGAUUACAAGUUCAUGUUAUUUACAGUCUCAAAAAGCUUCCAUACUUGUUUACAAACCUGUAUUUUCAAGUUGUGCUAGCCUAGCUAUUUGCAAAUCUUGGAAUAUUUUACUUCAUCCAAAUCCCUUGCAGUCUGCAGAGAAGAUAAAAGACAUGGCUUUGAUUGGAGAGGCUCUUAUCUCUGCUUCCGUCCAGGUGUUGUGCGACAGAAUUACUUCACCCGAGUUCGUUGACUUAUUUUGGCACAAGAAACUCGAUGAGCCACUCCUCAGGAAGCUGAGGACGACACUGUUGGCCUUGAACUUGGUGCUCAAUGAUGCAGAGGGGAAGCAACUUGUGAACCGAGAUGUGAAAAAGUGGCUUGACGAGCUCAGACAUGCUGUCUUUGAUGCGGAGGACUUACUGGAUGAGAUUGACACUGAAGCUUUGCGAUGCAAGCUGGAAGAAGGUGAAGAUCAAACUCACAAAUUUACCAAUAAGGUGCGGAACUUGCUCUUUUCUCCUCGUAGUCAUUUUUAUCAGAGCAUGAAUGAUAAGAUAAAAGAGUUACUAGCAAGGUUAGAAAACUUUGUACAACUGAAAAGUGCUCUUGGUCUGGGAGAAGUUGCUGGGAGGAAGGUUUCGCAAAGAACUCAAACAACCUCCUUGGUUCUUGAACCUUAUGUAUAUGGUAGAGAUGAAGUCAAAGAAAAGUUAUCAAAAGUGUUGCUAUCUGAUGAAGCAGGCAAGGAUCCUGUGUCUUUCCUCACCAUUGUUGGAAUGGGUGGGGUUGGCAAGACAACCCUUGCUCGAAUGCUUUACAAUGACGAUAAGGUGAAAGGGCAUUUUAAACUUAAAGCUUGGGCUUGUGUUUCAGACUACGAUGAUUAUAUUAAAAUUACUAAAACUCUCCUUGAGGCAGUCACUUCAAAGCCUUGUAACACGGCAAAUCUGAAUUUGCUUCAAAAAGAUCUAAGAGAGCAAUUGAGGGGAAGGAAAUUUUUAUUUGUGUUGACCUAUGGAAUGAGAAUAAUGAGGAUUUGAACUACCUUAGAGCUCUUUUUAUUACUUUAGGAACAAUGGGAAGUAAAGUCAUUGUAACAACACGGAACAAAAAUGCAGCAUCUGUCAUGCAAAAUGUUCAUAUUCAAUACUUAGAACCAUUGUCGUAGGAGGACUGCUGGUUAUUACUUGCAAAACAUGCAUUUGGAAAUGAAAAGUGUAGUGCACAUUCAAACUUGGAAGACAUUGGAAAGCAAAUUGCACUCAAGUGCAAAGGGUUGCCUUUAGCUGCACAAACACUUGGGAGUUUGUUACGUUGCAAUAUGGAUUUCGAGUACUGGAAUAGAAUACUAAAUGAUAGUUUUUGGGACCAACCCUAUGAUAAAACUAACAUUCUUCCGGCUCUAGGGUUGAGUUACCAUUAUCUUCCUACUCAGUUGAAACGAUGCUUUGCUUAUUGUUCAAUUUUUCCAAAGGAUUAUGAGUUUGAAAAGGAAGAUAUAGUUCAAUUAUGGAUUGCAGAAGGUAUAAUUCCACAAGCUGAGAAUGGAAAAAGGAUGGAAGCAUUGGCUAGAAUAUACUUUGAUGAGCUGUUAUCACGAUCGUUGUUUCAAAAGUCAAGUAAAUUCAGCUUCAUUAUGCAUGAUCUCAUUAAUGACUUGGCUAUGUUCAUGUCUCAGGGGUUUUGCCUUAGGCUCGAAGAUGGGGUAUCCCGUGAAGUUAAAAGAGCUCGUCAUUUGUCAUAUGCUAGGGGAGAAUUUGAUGCUGCUCCAAGAUUUGAACCAUUAUAUGAGGCUAAAUGUUUGCGGACCUUCCUACCUACCAUUUGUUGUGGGCAAAUCUACUGGAUCAGGCAUAAGAGAACUGAGGCAGUUCCCGCAACUUCGAGGAAAACUAUCAAUUUUGAAGCUACAAAAUGUAGUUGAUGCGAGGGAUGCACUGCACGCCAAUAUGAAGCACAAGAAAGAUCUCAAGGAGUUAGAGCUUUCAUGGGGUGCGGAGGAUGCUGAUGAUUCCCAAAAGGAGAAAGAUGUACUCGACAAGCUCCAGCCUUGCGUGAAUUUGGAGAAAUUAACCAUCAAAUUCUAUGGUGGAACUAAUUUUCCGAAUUGGUUAGGAGACUCGUCUUUUUCUAACAUACAAGUCAUGCAUCUCAGUGACUGUAGUUAUUGUUGGUCGCUCCCACCAGUUGGACCGCUACCGGCACUCAAACAGCUCUGUAUAAGAAGAAUGAAGUUUGUGAAGACGAUUGGCGUUGAAUUCUAUGGCAGAAAUGGAGCUUAUCUGACUCAGCCAUUUCGAUCUCUGGAGAAGCUAGAGUUUAGGGAGAUGCCAGAGUGGGAGGAAUGGGUACCAAGUGGAAGUGCAAGUGGAGGUGAAUAUGGUCCAGACUUUCCUCGUCUCCAGGAGCUGAUUCUAUACGAGUGUCCGAAGCUAAGAGGAAGUUUGCCUUGUGAGUUGCCUUGCUUGAAGAAGCUUACGGUGUAUGGGUGUAAGGUUUUACAUGAUGGAAGGGCCAUUACCGCAACUACCAAUAGUCUUAACUAUAAAUCUCUGGAAGAAUUGAAUAUAAGUGGUGGAUGCCAAACUCUGUUAUCAUUAUUAGAGACAAAGCUCCUGUCCGGACUUGAGAUUCGAAAUGUUGUUGACAUACAGUGCUUGCCCAACUGCAGUCGUCUUCAACAUUUGACUCUUUCGAAUUGUCCAACGCUGUCAUCAUUUCCCAAAGAUGGCCUACCCACUACAUUGACAUCACUUUAUAUAAACAAUUGUAGGAAAUUAGAAUUCCUACCUCAUGAGAUGUUGGCCAAAUUAACAUCGCUUGACUAUUUGUGCAUACAAAAUAGCUGUGAUUCAAUGAGGUCCUUCCCGUUGGGCAUUUUUCCCAAAUUGACGAGGCUUGAAAUUCGUGGUUGUGAGAAUCUGGAAUCCCUUUCCUUGAUUGAAGAAGAAGGAGCUGUUGAGAAUCUCAGCCAUCUCAAUUACUUGCAAGUCUAUAACUGUCCAAAAAUGGUGUGUUUUCACGAGGGAGAAUUGCCCACUCCCAACCUGAGUCACUUUGUAGUCGGUGGUUGCGAGAAUUUGAAGUCAUUGCCCAAAAGCCUUCACACCCUCACUGCCCUUCGAUCUUUGUCGAUAUGUAAUCUUCCGAAUCUGGAGUCAUUUGCAGAAGAUGGGGGUUUGCCUCCCAACCUCCGACAAGUAAGUAUUAGGAAUUGUGAGAGACUGAGGGCUUCAUCAGUGGGUUUGCAAGCACUUGACUCCCUUGAGAUCAGUGGAAGUGACCAUGUAUUCUCUAUCACACUCUUCACAUCUAUUCUCUAUCAACUCUGAAAUCUUUGGACGGAAAGGGUCUUGGACACCUCACUUCUCUUCAAGAGCUAGAUAUUAACAGGUGUCCAAGUCUGGAAUUCCUGCCAGGAGAGGAACUUCAACACCUCACUUCUCUUCAAAAUCUAUACAUUUGGAACUGUCCCAGUCUUCAAUGCUUGCCAGAAGAGGGUUUUCCAUCAUCUCUUUCUCAUCUGAGUAUCCGCCGGUGUCCUACCCUGGAGGAAAGGUAUAAGAAUAAAACGGGACGAGAUUGGGCCAAGAUAUCUCACAUUCCUUGCAUCGAGAUAGGCAACGAAGUGAUCAUAUAAUAUGAGCUAUUCCAUAUUUCACGCUCAACCCUCAACUCUCAAAUCAAAGUCAGGUGAGGUAUGUGCCUUCUCUUACUUUAAAAAACUGCUGCUCAAUAACACUCUUCGCACUCUAUAUAUUAUGGCCUGUCAGUCUAAAAUUCCUGCCAGGAGAGGAACUUGAACGCCUCUCUUCACUGCAAAGGCUACAUAUUUGUGGGUGUGACAAUAUCCAAUUCCUGCCAGAAGAGCGUUUGCUGCAAUCUCUUUCUUAUCUGUGCAUCGACCAUUGUUUUGCCAUGUAGAAAAGGUAUCUCACAUUCCUUGCGUCAAGAUAGGUGAAGAAGUGAUCAUAAGAUAUGAGCUCUCUCUCCCUCUCGCUCACAUACAAAGUACUUAAAACACUCAAUCUGAUUUCUAUUAUUAUUUUGCUCAGUAAAUUUUGUUUAAAUUUGCUUUGUUUCUCAUUGCGCUUGUUCUGCUUAUCACAACUUAUAUCCUAUUUAAAUCUCAAAUGCUGAAUAGUUAGCAGUCUUUUCGCAGGACAGCAUAUCUUCUCUUGGAGAGCUAUUCAUUUGCAAGGUUUCUUUAUGUGUCAUUUCCAGAGGAGGGUUUACUAUUUAAUAGAAAGGUUCACCUGGAAUAUCUCAAAUGACACAUUCCCAAAUACAGGCAUUGAAUGCACAACAUUUUGAGGUACUAUUUUUGUAAUAAAAAUGUACUUGAGUCUCAUUUGAGCUAGUUUAAAUUGUAUUCAAUGUCUAUGGAUAACCUGUGAGCUUAAGUUGUAAGAUAAAACUCACAGUAUAUUAUUAGGGUUUAGGGUUCAACAGGUGAGCUUAAGUUGUACUUUCCUAGGUACUGCAUGUAUAUUAUCUUAGUAUCAACACUUGGUCUUAUGUGGACGAGAGAGAACAUUUGAGGAAUUACAAAAUCUUCUUAGUGAAUUAAGCUUGUUUCAGCUCUGUUUGUCAUCCCUCACAUUUUCUUUGUUAAGCCUUGAUUUUUUAUUAGACAUACGAAAAAAUGCUUUUAUAAGACAGGAGAUGAAUGCUUUUAUAUGUUGAUGUCGUAGUCAGUCUUCAACCACACUCUGUUUUUAGAAUUCAUUUAUGUUACUAGUUGAGAGCUGCUGUAUUUUAUAUUUCGUUCCUGUAAUGUUUGGAUGUUUAGCUUGAGCAGUCUAGCUUAUCCAGUAGAUAACUUGUCCCCUGUUUUGUAAUGUUUUUGUUUCCUCUAAUGAAAGCAGGUUUUACUUAUCUUGAACUGCAGAAGCCUACUUUUUGACAUAGGUGGCAUGGCACAAACUCGCAUCCGCAUUUCCAUCCCCAUUGGCAUGCUGUCUCAUCUUUUCUAUUCUGUUACCAGCUUGAAGCUUGUGUGGACAUGUUAUGCUCUUGUAAUUCUGAUCACAAACAUCACUUGACAAAUGGAAAGUCACAAUCAGAUCUUUCAGGUGAUCUGGAGGUUUACUUUCUAACAUUUGUUUUCGUGGGGGGGAGACAACAAUACAGAAUUUAAAAUUUCUGAUAAUCAAUAGUAGUUUGCAUAUAUCAGCUGGGACCUGUAUGACUGUAUUAUGUAAUUAAUUAUUUCUCUUAUUGUUUGGGUACUGUUAAAAGGAGUUAGCCACACAACAUAAAAAAGGAGGUCUCUUAUUUCAUACAAUUUUUCAAAUGUGAUCAUUAAUCCGUUUCUUUUUCAACAAUAGAGGAAUGUAUACUAAUCGUCUGGUCCAUCUGCUGCUUCACUCCCUAGUAGCUUCAUCUCCUGUCCUUUGCUUUAUUUCUGUUGAUGAAUGUUUUGUCUGGGUUAUUUAUUUUCAUUUCAUGUCCAUUGCUUUAUUUCUGUUUGGAUUCUUAAUUAAAUCUGUCCUGGACUUGAACAAGGGUUAGGUUAGCUGUAUAAUUUGCGGUUUUAUAUACACAACUGUCUACAUUGAUUAAAACCAGCAUUAUUCUAAGGUUCAUUUAGAAUGUAUUAUCACCAAAAUUAUAAAGAAUACUUCUAUUACAAUUAAUUUGUUGAUUCUAAUUUGGACUUGUAGGAACAGACCAAACAUGUUCAUGCGUGGCAUUGCUCAAGUCAUCAUCAUUCGAGACAGAGAAUAAGCCUUCAAGUGUCUGCUGAGUCAAUGAACCUUUCUAGAUAUCUCAAGUGUAAUGGAAAUUGAUGAGUUACAAAGGAUUUGUAAACAUUUUCUACUGGAGGCUAGAAAUGCUUCAAAUAAAUGACCGUGUUGCAAUUAUUUUGUAGGAUCAAAGACUCUGCAAAGAGGUAAGAAAGUCAUCAUCAAGUAACUUUGCUCUUCAAACUUUUUAUUUUUAUUUUUAAAUAUCAGUAAUAACUGGGAAAGCUUGCAUCUCCUUAAAUUGCUCAUUCUUACAUCUUUUAUAGUUUGUUGAUCUUGGGCAAGUGGAGAGAGAGGCGUCAAGUGAUACGCAACAACCAUUUUCUGUGAGCUGAUUUGAUAAAGAGAAAUGGUAUGCUUUCUUGUCUUAAGCGGUGUGUUCUGCAAUUAUUUGAAACAAAGGAUGCCGCACUUCAAGUUCGAGAAAAUCAGGUAUUUUAGUAUUUUAUUCUUGAGAAAUUUGAUUUAUGUAGAAACUUGAACAUGUAAAUAAAAUAAAUAAAAUAUAUUAUAUGCUGUUAAUGAGUUAAUAUGGUGCUUGCUUCUAGUUGGAAAUUUAUGUAGUCAUCUACCUAUGAUCAAAUAAAGAUGAAGAAUAAAAUAUAAUUGAGAGCAUCUUCCUCUCCCCUGCUUUGCUCAUCCCUUGUUCUUCCACUUCAGCCCCACUAUUACACCAUUUUUUCAGCCACAAUUAUAAUAGCUCCAUGAGCAUUAAGUCCUUUUCAAAUUCUGCUGACAUUCAAAAUUGGAAUUUGCUGGUGAUAUAUGAUAGCAUCUUUGUCCGACCAAAAAGAGAAAAAAAAAAAGUUGAUAGCAUAUUGUACCAUUUUGGCCAGUGUACGCAAUAUUAUUGCAUCCAACUUUGCAUAUUAACAUCAGUGGCCACAGUUCCAUGAUUUGAGUGCACAGAAAAGUUUCAAAAGUUGUCCCACAAAGAACAGUCGUUCAAAGUGAAAGAGAGAUUUCAAAGCUUAAUUACAAGUUCAUGUUAUUUACAAUAUCAAAAAGCUUUCAUACUUGCUUACAAACCUGUAUUUCCAAGUUCUGCAAACCUUGGAAUAUCACUUCAUCCAAAUCCCCUUCCAAAGCAGGAAAAAAUGGCAGCAGCUUUGAUUGGAGAGGCUCUCAUCUCUGCUUCUAUCGUGGUGUUGUGUGACAGAGUUACUUCAGCCGAGUUCAUAGACUUAUUUCAGCAGAAGAAACUUGAUGAAACACUCCUCAUGAACCUGAAGACGACACUGUUGAUUUUGUUUGCGGUGCUCAAUGAUUCAGAGGAGAAGCAAAUUGUGAACCCUGAAGCUUUGCGAUGCAAGCUGGAAGGUGAGGAUCAAACCCACAAUAAUUAACCAAAAAGGAUCUUUUUGAUUGUUUGAAAGGAGGGUCUUGAUGAUUUGAAAGGAGAGGGUUGCUUUAUUUCUGUUGGAUGCUUAAUUAAAUCUUAUUUGGAGUUGAACAAGGAUUAGGUUAGCUGUAUAAUUAGUGGUAAACGCCUUUUUCUAAGGGUCAUUUAGACUCCUAUUACGAUUAAUUUGUUGUUUCUAAUUUGGACUUGUAGGAACAGACCAAAUAUGUUCACACGUGGCAUCGCUCAAGUCAUCAUCAUUUCAGACUGAAAAUCAGCCUUCGAGUGUCUGUUGAGUCAAUAAACCUUUCUAGAUAUAUCAAGUGCAAUGGAAAUUCAUGAGUUACAUAGAGAUUUUUAAACAUUUUGAAGAUUGCAACACCUGCAAGUGAGAUAGGCGGUGACGAAAUCAGAGCUGAUUUUGAAGCCUCUGAUGCCCCUGUUGUUGCAAGUUGCACCUGAGAACAAGUUUUUUUUUUCUUUGGGGUAAAAAACUGGCAACAUGUUCGGAGCUGACAAUUCAAUCCCUGAUGAACUAGAGAAGCAAAGCUCCGGUAAGGAAAUUGGUCAAGGUUGUGACAGGGAUGAUUGAUGGUGAAAUGGAUGCUAUUUCUUAUUGCAGCCUGUUCUCAAAGUUCUUGUUGGCAAAUGCAAUUGAUGGAGUAUUUUGAUUGGGAGGAGAGAUAAUGACAUGGCUUGACAAUUCUAGAACAGCCCAUCAUUAAUCCCAGAAAAAAUCCCGUUUCUGCUAAACAAUCACUUAUGGCAAGGCCAACUCUGUAAAUGGAAUUUGUGAUCCCUUCAAAUUGUACACAUUUUUUCUUUUUGAGGAAUUUAAUCAAACAGUAUUCUAAUGCAUUAUGAUAGCACUACACGCUUUUGUUGUAACAAAUUACAAGGAGGAAUUUGGAUUGAGUUUCUUGUAUAAGCACACCUUACACAAAUUUCGUAUAUUUUCUUCCAGCAAGUCUGUUUAUUAACCCCCUUAUCUGAAAUUAAUUGUUAAAAGUUUUGAUUCAUCUUUAAUCAGUGUCUUACCCUUGUUGAAUAACACUCCUCUUUCUAAUUUAUAUUUGAAGUUUGAGCUUUCAAUUUCAAUUGUGGGCUUUGAUUUUUCAGAUUUUGUUUGUCAAUUUCAGUUUGGACAAAGCAUAUAUGCAAACAAAGUAAGCAUUUUAUGUUAUACUUUUGAACUAGGUGUUGAUUUGAUUUAAUCAUAAGUUUUGCUGGUGCAUUUACUAGGCUAAUCAUUCAAUACUUUUGAUCAUAGAACUUCUUUGGUUGAUAUUAUCUUUGUUAAGUUUAACCAUAACUUUAGAGAGGGGACUUCAACAGAUUUAUAAUCUCAUCAUUAUAGUAUUAAAAAUUAGAGAUUAUUUAAGGCAUUGUCUAUUAUCUGAAUUCUGCUUACUUUUAGUUCAUAUGUUUACAUCUUAGCAUAUUCAUGUGAUUAGUGCGGCUCAUACCACAAAGGCAAUUUUAGGCUCAUCAAGUGCUAAGCAAUGUCAAGCUUCCAAAUGACAAGUUCUCUACAUAGUUUGAGACCUACACUUACUAGAUAUUAGAUCAUUUCGAUCAUUUCCAUAUGUUUAUAUGUAAUUGACAUGUUAUAACAUUUUUGUAGCGUUAUAUAAUUAUUUAGCAAUUUAAUUAUUUCUUUGCAACUUAAUUUUUUUUGUCAAUCAUACUAUUGUUGACUGCUAAAAACCAUCAAGAAAUAGUUCUCAAGUUAUAAAAAAAAAAAAAUUUUAAAAAAGAUUUGUUGAUGCUUAAAAAGCAUCAAGAACAGAUAGUUUCUUGACGGUUUUGUGACAUUUCAUAACUGUAGGGGGCUUUUUCUUCCGACAGCUGUAAAUGGGCUGGGCUGCCGUAAAGGGCAGACUGAUGAAAUUGUCCCCUUUUGUAUGAGCUCAAAAAUUAAGCCCCAAAAUACUUUGAAAGGGCAGCAGAGCCUUAGGAAGUAUUUUGGUUACCCUCACCAACUAAAACAACAACAACUUACAGGUAAUUACUUAAUGCUUAUGGAUGAACUCUUGAGCUUGGCAUGAGAGACAUAUGGCAUGGAAGCAAAAUCAACAUGAGUUUAGCACUGAGGGGAAAUUUAGGCUCUCUUGGGGGAAAAAGGGAAGUGUUAAGGUGAGAGAGGAGAAGUUUGUAGGAGAUUUAGCUAAGAAAGGAGAAAUAUAGAACAAUGCUCUUUUGGCAGCUUGACAGAUGCUCUGUUUGCCAGAAAAGGAAGAUGGAGAAGAAAUGUGAAUAGUGCAAGAGUUUGCUAGAUUUUUGCAGGUAAGAGAGGAAGCUUGCUCUCUGGGUCUGAGUUGAGUUUUUUUGUGUGGAAGAGACCUCAUUUUAUAGCCCUUGGAAACCAUCACUUCCCAAGAAACCCUAAUGGCUUCUACCCAUUUUGGCCAAGCUUUUCCCUUCCUUUCUCAUUUCCUUCCUUGACUUUACCCCUCUUGAUGAAAUCCCCUCUGCCUAUUUGCACCAUAUCAGAGUUUUUUGAAGCUCAAGGCCCCUUUUUCCCGCAGUUGUCUCAAUGGGAGACUUCCAUUCCCAGUCAUCUCCUUUAUUGCUUUCCUUUCUUUUUUUCAUGGCCAAGUUUGGUGGGGAAAGGAGUUGGGAUAUAUAUGCUGGUUUGAAGGGUGCUUCUCUUCCUGGCAUCUUACACACUAAUACCCCUUGGUUCCUUGAAUGUUUUGGCUUUGAAACUUGCUCUCCCCCCCCCCCCCCCCCCCCCCAUGUACUGGAACCUACCAGCAGCUCUAUUCAAUGAAUCUUCAGACCUUCUCUUCGUGGCUUUUAUUUUUUAUCAACGGGCUGGGGCUUUUGUGGCUCAUUGUGGCAAUUGUAUGGGCUAAGGUGGUUCAUUAAGUAAGUGGGCUAUUUUUAUUAAACAUUAGGCUUUUUGGUUGAGUCACUAGGCUAUUUUGAUUGGGCUAUUGGGCUAUUUUUUUCCUCUCUUGUGCUCACCCACAUGUUUGGACCAAAGAAAUGAGCUUGAGUCCUGAGGCUCCCAAGCGACCCGAGACUUUCCAUUUCUGGCCCAUCAAUGGGCCUCAUGUUGAUUUAUUACCAUCCAUACCACAACCCACUCAAGCAGGCUCCGGGCAUUUGAAUGACUUGGGCGCACUUAGGCUUGUAGUGUGGUUGGGUGCGAAAUAACGAUUUCGUGCUUGGCAUGUUUUAAUUUUAUCAUCCUUGGGAAAGGCUGCGAUGUUUGAUUUCGGCAUGGGCUUGUAGAGCUGGUAUGCUUUAUUUCAACUCCUAGCAUGACGAAUUAUUUAUUUAGCAUGGCACGUGAAUUACAACUCGCAUGUGGUGGGUUUUUGUGUACUACACCUUACGCCUCUUCUUAAUAGAACAUCGUUUUGGGCUGAUAAUUUAUUCGGGCCAAACCGUGAAUUUUUUGGGUCUCAAUAAUAACCAUCAUGAAACAUUACAUUUUGACUGACGUCAAGAAAUGGGGUAUCCCUUUCCUGAUAGUGGCAUCCAUGAUGCCUUCCAAGCAGUCAAUUAAGGGCUAUCGUGAUGCAUUUUAGUUGUCAGCAAAAGGUGUUUUUCUUGUACUGUAUUCACUCAAAGUCGUGUUUCAUUUAAGAUUAGUAGUAUGGUUGAAUACCAUUUGUUUUGUUAAAGAAUAUUAUACAUUAGGGAUUUUUGUAGAAAUGUCAUUUGAACUUAUACCUUAGUUUCAAUUUGUCACCUUGAAGAAAAAUUUAAGAGAAAUGUCACCUUAAUUUUUAAAAAUCCAUGAUUUGUCAUAUGACUUUAAAAUCAUCCAAUUUUCCAUCCAUUUUAAGGGUAUUUUAGUCUUUUCAUUUUGAAGGAAAAAAAAGAGAUGAAAAAAGAGACCUCUCUCUUACUUUGUCCCUCAACCCAACCCCACCCGCCCCCCAAAACACAUCACAUAGGAUUGCCUCCCCCUUCCCCACUUUUCUUUUUUCUUUUUGUCCUACUUUUCCACUAUGUUUAUGUUGAAGGAUCUAAAGUUUGCUUGGUCACCAUCUGUUACGUAGGCUUCCCAAUUGUUAGUUUGGGUGGGUUGUGGGAAUUUGUGUGCUCGAAACCCGAGACGAAUCUUGUGGAAUUCCCGACAUCACACCGAUGCCGGGCCCACUUCUGAACUAAAUUCUCUUUUCCAAAAUUAAGGAAAAAGAGUACGAGGCUUUCUGCCGAAAUUUCGACAGAGUAUUCCCUAUAAAUUUAACAUUUCAGCUUUGGUGGCCGUUCUCUCAUUUCAGCUUUGGUGGCCGGAUGAGAGAACGGUCGGCUAAAACGUGGCCAGCUGGCACUGCCGUCGCGAGAGAGAGAGAGAGAGAGAGAGAGAGAGAUUUUUAUCAAAUCAUUUUUGCCAAAAUUACGAUUAUGCAACUGAGGGUAUUUUGAUCGUAUCUUUUUCAUUAUAACUCUGAUUCAAGCCCACUACGUGUUUACGGACUCAUCUCGCCGUGCUCUAUGCAAUUGUAUAGUUGAAAUUCCCAAAUUCCACCCCAGUCAAAAAUUCAACUUUAAACCCUACAAAAUAUUAUAGGGGCAAAAUGGUCUUUUAUCUAAUUAAAUUAAUAAUUGAAAAUUUAUUUAGGACCGGGUUGUUACACUGUCGUUGAUGGACUGUGCGAUGACACUCACACAAAGUCCUUGAGAAUAAAACACACACACACCAUGAAGAGAGUAAAACAAAUACACAAGUACACAAAGAUUUAUAAAGGUUUGGCCUUCUGCCUACGUCCUCUUGGUGAUCCACCCGAGAAAUUCACUAGUACGUAAGAACAACUUUGGUUACAACUAAACCCCCUUAGCUUUCAUAAGAACCCUAGAUCUCUUUUCUCCCACCCUUGCUCCAACCCUUUGAUGCCCUUGUAAACACUCAAGAAUUCACCCUUGAAUUCUGUCAUGUGUUACAUCUUCUCUUCUCCCCUUUGUUAACCUAACCCUAAAAGUUAUAUUUAUAAUUCAUAGGACUUUAAGUACAAGUUAACUAGGAAUAGGAAACAUAAUAGACCUCAAAAAUUGGAGAAAAUAUGUUUAGAUCUCGUUAGGAAAUUGCACAACACGUGCGAUCCGCUCGAGCGCCUGCAAAAUGAUCCCUUUGUCGCUCAAGCUGCCGAUAGCUCAUGGGAUGGGGGAAUUAGAGAUUUUUUUUUUUUUCAAUUUUAAUUGUUUAAAAGAUAUACAAUUUUUUAAUAAUAAUUUUUCCAUUUUUAAAAUACCCUUGAAAAUAGAAAGAUUAAAAUGCCCUUAAAAAUGGAUGGAAAAUUGGAUUGCGUUAAGGUCAGUUGACAAAUCAUGGAUUUUGAAAAAUUAAGGUAACAUUUCUCUUAAAUUUUUCUUUAAAGUGACAAAUUAAAAUUGAGGUAUAAGUUCAAGUUACAUUUAUGCAAAAAUCCUUAUACAUUAUGAUAUUCUAACAAUAAAAUUGGCUAAAAUUGAUAUGUUCCCUCUUUAUUUUCUUUUUCUCUUUUCCUUUUCAUUUUAUGAUCCAAUCCUUUUCAUAUAUUUUUGUUCAAGACUUUGUUUUAGAAUGCUCUAUUACUAAUUUGGUACAGGUCCCUAAAAUCUCGGAGCCGCCUUAGUACAUUCAUAAUGUACAUGUUCAGAGUUCAAGAAUAAUGUAUAGAAUGUGAAAUUGACGAUGCCGGCCUUUAUGAGGCAACGUCUUUAUUUCUUUGGUUAUUACAGUUUAGAAUAUUUGCACAAAUGAGAUGAUUCCAAGCAUAAAGUCACAUUCGACCAAAAAGCAUGAAGUCACACACAAAAAGAACACGGACAAUUGCUAAGUUUAUCCUUGUACCCUUAUUUUAUUGAUCCGACCCAAUUGAAAAUUAAAAAAAGAUGAUAAAAAAUAUUGUUCACUACUUUAAAAUCUAUGAGUAGAGUCCUCCAUUUGAAAUUUCGUCAUUAUACAAAAUUGGAAUGAAAAAAGAAAAUCCUACAGCUAAAUUUGAUAUAUUUCCUUUUCAUUUUAUGCUGGGUGUUAGGGCUUGUCAAUGGGCCGGGCUAGGCUAGCCCGGCUCAAAUUUAAUGGGCUUGGGCUAGGCCGGGCCAAGCUUUAAAGAGGAGAGAGAAAAUAUCCGGCCGAGUUUUUUAAGAAAAUUCAAAGCCCAAGCCCGAAUCACUGCUGUCUAGCCCGGCCCAAAUUUAAUGAGCUUGGGCCAGGCCGAGCCAAGCUUUAAAGAGGAGAGAGAAAAUAUCCGGCCGAGUUUUUUAAGAAAAUUCAAAGCCCAAGCCCGAAUCACUGCUGUCAUUUCAUUGAUUUGUGACGAGCACAACCACCAAAUCAGAAUUUACUCACGAAAAUAUCAAGUAUGUCUAGCAAAUUUCAAUUUUGAAUAAUACACAAUUUCAAAAGGAGGACAUGUUGCAAGACAGCAUACCUUCUCUUGGGGUGCUUUUCAUUUUGCAACAUUUCUUUACGUGUAAUUUCCAGAGGAGGGUUUAUCAUUGUAUAUAGCUUUUCGGGUGGUUUGUCUACAAAACAAAUGUCACAAAGAAGGAGGAGAAACGGAAAAGAUUUACUUGGAAUGUCUCAAGUCUCCUUUGAGAUAAAGGCAUCGAAUGCACAACAUUGCUUUUGUGCUAUUUCAUAAUUAAAGUGUGCUUCCCAAGUCUCCUUUGUGUUUUGUAACUUGUAAUGUUUGUUUUUUUGUUUCCCCUGUUUUCCCUCUUAUAAAAGAAAUACAGGUCCAAACCACACGGAUCUACUUGCAUAAUAAUGGACCAAAUUUAUGAUUUUUAGAAAGAACCUUCUGCCGGUGGAAUCUUGGGCUACUGUUGUGGCUCUCCUCUGUGUGCCUCCUUUUUAGAACGGUAAAAUAUUCAAAAUACUAGAAAAUGUUCGUGAUUAAUAUAAAUAUUAAGAAUUGAAAUUAUUAAUUAAAUGAGGAUAAUAUGGUAAAUUCACACUUUUUUAUAUUAAAAAAAUUAAAAUUAAAAGAAAAAUCAGAUAAUUGAUAUUAUUUUUAUGGAACACAGCUACUCAUUAUCUUUUUUAAUUCUAAAAUAAAUUUAAAUUAAAGAAAAAAACCCCUCUCACAGGCACGGAAGCGCGUGCUCAGAGGCUAGUUAAAAAUAAUGAACUUUGCUUCUGAAGACGUCUAUACCAGACCCACUCAACCUGCUUUAUGAUUAUACAAAGAACAAACUCGUCCUUAGACUCAUUUGGUUAAACUUAGAAAAUAAUGAAACAAAAAUAUGCACUCCCACAAGUAACACAGCCAGGAUUGAAAACAACUGGACAAAGAAAGGCAUGUUAAAACAGAAUUUUCAACAACUCAUCACCAUUAGACAAGAAAAAGAAAAAUCAAUACAAAAACAGAAAGAACAGAGAAUAAAUGUGGUGGAAGAAAAACGUUGAAGCCAUUUGUGAAUCCAACAACACUACCACUCUGUUUCUCUCCUUUUGUUCAGGCGGAUCUGCAUAUAUCCUAAGGCGUAUUACGGAAACAACUUCUUGCCGUUAUACUUGAAUGUUGUGGAUGCUUCAACGUUGCCAUCUGGGUGGAGUGGAUUUGUCCAAUUCACCUUCACUAUGGUAUAUACGUCCAAAUUGUUGUUAUUUGAAAGGCUUCUAAAUUUUAACAUUUUGAUUUUUAAAUUUUGUUUAAAUAUUUCGGCCCACUUAGUUCUUCUCAAAAUAUGUCAUCAAUAUCGUUGAAAGGUUGAACUUAGUGAAUUAUUAUAGUGCAGUACUGUAGAAUAGACACAUGAUAUAAUUUGUCCACAUGUUAUAAUAUAAGUAAAUAUUUAUUGAUAUUAUUUCUAAAAAUAAGAAAUAUCAACCAUUAUAUCCUCCCAUAUUAUAAUACAUAUACAAAUUAUACCACAUUAUCAUACUCUAAUACCAUUUUAUAAUUUCUCGUACUUAGAGCGAGUCAAUGACAUUACAUAAUAUAUAAUUGUUCAUAUAAUGGGGCAACUAACGUGAUCAACAAGUUGUGGUGAUUAAUUUAACAUAAUAAAAAAUAUACCAUUUACUUGAGUGAUGUAACAAUUUGUUCUUUUAAAUUGGAUUGCCAUCACUUUAAUAUGAUAUGUUUCUUAUUAUAGUGUCCCAUGUUAAGUGCUUCAGCAUUGUUUGUGGUGUGUACACAAAUUUUCUUAUAAAAUGUUUUAAUGCUUCUCACAUGUAUAUCAGAUAUAGACAGUUGAUGUGACUUAGAAAUCAAAUUGUCAAUAAAGCAAAAAAAUAUAAUUGGUGAUUGAGGUCCAAUUUAAUAGAAAAUAGUCUUAACUUGUAUAUUAGAGGUUUCAGAUUCGAAUCCUCACUGCAUUAUUGUUGUAUACGUACACGAGAAAUCCUCUUCUCCAAUAAUUUAGACUAUCACUUAUACUAAAAAAAUAUAUAUAUAUAAUGACUUUUACGGAUGCAAACAUAAAAUUACACCAAACAAUAAUGGAAUAGAAAGAUGCAAGUUAUUUUUUUUUUUUUUACAUCUAAAGUAUACUUUAUAUAUAUAUUUAUUAUGGGUGUUAUAACCGUUUAAUUUUCAGUUUUUAUUUUCUAUUUAUUGUUUUAAUUUUUAUGGUUUAAUGUGUAUGAAGAUUACAAGUAUUGGAUGUCUACCACUCCUCCUUCACAUCUGAAACAAACCACCAUCUCAUUUCUGUAUUUUCAUACUUUCAUAUAUUUUCUACUUUCCAGAUUAUUAUUUUUGGGCAACGGUUCUGUGACUUGCAGAUUUCUAUCCGAUUGUUAACAUGCUCAUAGCGGACCUUGAGCUUGCGUAUUGGGGAUCGUAUCUUGGAGCCUUAUAGACCUUUAUUACCUGCAUGUAGGGAGGUUAUAAAUGCUUUAGGUCAGCAUCUUUGACGUGCUUUUGCUUUCUUUUUUUUUUUACUUAUUUCUUCGUUUCUUUAUUUUUACUUUACUUUUAAAUUUUUAUUUUAUGUAUUAUUUAUAUUUAAAAGUUUUGAAUAAGAGUUUUACAGAAAAGGAAAAACACAAUUUCAAAUAACACAAAUUUCUCGUUUUUGGUUCUUAAAAUAAAUGAAUUUUUUACUUAUUUGUGAACUGAAAUGCCUCUAAAAAAAUAAUGAUAGUUUGAAGAAUUUGAUAGAAAUUAAAAAAUAUCCUCAAAUUACUUGGAAUUGAAGACCACAUAGGCAAAAACACCAUUUUGGACAAAGGCUGGUGAUAAUAGUCGAUAUCAUCUUUAAGUACUUUAAUAUGAUAUGUUUCUUAUUAUAGUGUCCCAUGUUAAGUGUUUCAGCAUUGUUUGUGGUGUGUACACAAAUUUUCUUAUAAAAUGUUUUAAUGCUUCUCACAUGUAUAUCAGAUAUAGACAGUUGAUGUGACUUAGAAAUCAAAUUGUCAAUAAAGCAAAAAAAUAUAAUUGGUGAUCGAGGUCCAAUUUAAUAGAAAAUAGUCUUAACUUGUAUAUUAGAGGUCUCAUAUUCGAAUCCUCACUGCAUUAUUAUUGUAUGCGUACAUGAGAAAUCCUCUUUCCUAAUAAUUUAGACUAUCACUUAUACUAAAAUAUAUAUAUAAUGACUUUUACGAAUGCAAACAUAAAAUUACACCAAACAAUAAUGGAAUAGAAAGAUGGAAGUUUUUUUUUUUUUUCCUACGUCUAAAGUAUACUUUAUACAGUCCCGAUCUCUUGGACCACAGGAGUCCAAGAGAUUGUGGUCACCCACCGUUGGAUAUUAAUCCAAUGGUUCAAAAUGAUAUAUAUAAAUGCAAUAUGACAUAAAUGAUUAUUACCCGAUCCAAGUCAACCGUUGAAUUUACAUUCAACGGUGGGUGACCAUAAAUCUCUUGGACUACAGGGGUCCAAGAGAUCAGGACUGAUACUUUAUAUAUAUAUAUAUAUAUAUUUAUUUAUUAUGGGAGUUAUAACUGUUUAGUUUUCAGUUUUUAUUUUCUAUUUAUUGUUUUAAUUUUUAUGGUUUAAUGUGUAUGGAGAUUACAAAUAUUGGAUGUCUAUAAAGGGCCACUCCUCCUUCACAUCUGAAACAAACUACCAUCUCAUUUCUGUAUUUUCAUACUUUCAUAUAUUUUCUACUGUCCAGAUUAUUAUUUUUGGGCAACGGUUCUGUGACUUGGAGAUUUCUAUCCGAUUGUUAACAUGCUCAUAGCGGACCUUGAGCUUGCGUAUUAGGGAUCGUAUCUUGGAGCCUUGUAGACCUUUAUUACCUGCAUGUAGGGAGGGUACAAAUGCUUUAGGUCAGCGUCUUCGACGUACUUUUGCUUUCUUAUUUCUUCGUUUCUUUAUUUUUGCUUUACUUUUAAAUCUUUAUUUUAUGUAUUAUUUAUAUUUAAAAGUUUGAAUAAGAGUUUUACAGAAAAGGAAAAAUACAAUUUCAAAUAACACAAAUUUCUCGUUUUUUGUUCUUAAAAAAGAAGAAGCAUUGAUUGGGGAGUUAUGGUAAACUCAAUUUCAAUGGUUGCGAUGAGAGGCGGUGGCGGCGAGGAGAGGACGAAGGCUUUGCUGCCGACGGGGUGGUGUGGGUGGGUGGAGACCUCGGCUGGCUGCUUGGUCCUGGGUUCUCCUUUAAUUCUCUGUUUUCUUUUUUCUUUUUCUUUUUCUCUUAGAGUUAUUGAUGUUAAGUGAAUGGACAGAUGCCAAAAUAGGGACAGAAGUAGGGGUGGGCAUCAAUCCGGCCGAUCCGGUCAAUCCGGCCGAACCGAUUAUAUUGGAUUGGUUUGGUUUGGUUUUGACCAAAGAAAAAGUCAACAUUUUGAAAAACCGAACCGAACCGGUUUGGUUUGGUUCAGCUGUGGUUUGAGAGUUUUAAAAACUGUCCUAAACCGAACCGGACCGAUUAUAAAUCAAUUUAUUAUUUAUUUAAUUUAGUUUACAUGUGGCAAGGUUUGUGUGCGUUUUGUGAGUCCGCGUAUCUGAAUGUUGGUGCACGUUUUGAUCUUCUAAUUUGCAUAUCCCAGUUAUUUGUGUGUGCUUGUAUUUCCCUCUCUUUCUAUCUCUACUAUGUGUGUUUGCUCUUUGUGUUGUGUGGCUCUUCUUACUCUAUCUAUCUUAAUUAAUGGGUCCAUUUCAUAAUUUCAUACGCAUUCAAACUCCACCUCUGUGAUAAAAACAUUUACCUCUUUGUGAUAAAAGCUUUUCAUUUGUUUGUAUUUCUCUUUGGCUUUUUGACUCACUCACUGUCUUUCUUUCUUUUAAUGCUACUUGUGAUGAAUGCAAUGAGUAAAUUUAAUGCUACUUGGUUAAUGCAAAUUUUGUAUAUGUUUGUUUUGAUGGAAAUUGUGAACUUAGAUGCAUGCUAGACAUUGGACAACCUUUGAAUAAAUGGAAUGAUGUUGUAUUAGCCUUUGAUGGAAUGAAAUGAAAUGAUAUAAUGGCAAAAUGUUAGCAUUAUAAUGUAAGAGCAGGUUGAAAAAUGCAUGGUUUUGUGUUAGGCACAAACCGGCCGAACCAAUCCGAACCAAACCGAUUACAAGUGGUUUGGAUUGGUUCGGUUUCCAUUAUGAUUUUAGGCUAAUCCGAACCAAACCGGACCGUUAUUUUCUUAUUGGUUCAGCUGUGGUUUGAGAGUAAAACCGAACCAAUCCGGACCGUGCCCACCCCUAGACAGAAGAUGUGAACCCAAUUAUAUACAGCUGAUUACAUAAAGUAACAAAUUAAUUAAUACUUGAGUGGAGGACAGGCUUGAGUGGAAGAAUUGAUUAAGGCUUGAGUGGAAGACCAACUUCAGUGGAGGAAAGUAUAGAUAAGGAAAGCAUGCCUCGUUUAACGGCUUUAUCUAAUAAAGAUUAGUUGUUGGCACUUGGAGUUUCUUAGGAAUGCUGGUUUUGUUUCCUUGGUGGACUUGAAAGGUGGUGCGUUGGCUCGGACAUCUCCCUAGUAAUUAAUCGAAGGUGGAAUCUUACAAGACAUACAGCUGCUCAUUAGCUGAAUAUCUCGCUCUCUUUAAAGAGAUCGAAGCAAACUGCAAUUUGCAAUUUGUGUGAUUCAAGCAUGAAUAUCUGAUAUAGUAACUAUACCAUUUGUUGGUUUGAUAAGAAAAGUUUGGUUAGCGAGGAUGAAACCAUAAAGUUCUCCAAAACACACAAAAAACACGAACAAUUGCUAAGUUUAUUCUUGAGUUCACACAUAUUUGUACAAAUGAGAUUACUCCAAGCAUGACUAUACCAUUUGUUGGUUUGAUAUGAAAAGUACGGGCAACGAGGAUAAAACCAUACAAACACACACAAAGAACGUGGACAAUAUACUAAGUUUAUCUUUGCGUUAUUGAUCCGACCUAACUGUAAAAUAAAAAAGAUAAAAAUAUAUAAUGUUCACUACUUAGAUCUAUGAGCACUAAAGUCCUCCUUUUGAAAUUGCACAAAACAUCACUUUUGGUCUUUGGUAAAUUUUUAAAAUAAAUGAAUUUUUUACUUAUUUGUGAACUGAAAUGCCUCUAAAAAAAUAAUGAUAGUUUGAAGAAUUUGAUAGAAAUAAAAAAAUAUCCUCAAAUUACUUGGAAUUGAAGACCACAUAGGCAAAAACACCAAAUUGCAACCUCACUUUAAUGAUAAAAAUGGUAAACUACAAAGACAAAAAUGACGUUUUGCCUUAUACAUAAUUGGAAUUUGCUGGUGAUAAUAGUCUACCAUCUUUUGUCGAUUUGCUGGUGAUAAUAGUCUAUCAUCUUUUGUCGGUCCGACCUAAAAAGAAGAAAAAGUUGAUGGCAUCUUGUACCAUUUUUGCCAAUGUGGGCCCAAACAAUUUGAAGAAGUCCACCGGCAAUUUCUCAAAAGCUAUUGUGUGAGUGUGAAGCUAAACCAAUAUUAUUUUGCAUAUACGACUCCACAUCCCCAUGUGAUGUGAGGCUACAAAAGUGUUUCCAAAACGAAAUAUGAUAUUUCAAAACGAAGCUAUGUAUAGAGUCAUUUGUAUUUGCUUUCACAAUAACAUUUGAUUUGUGAAAGCAUUUUAUAUUUAUACAUUCUGAUAUUCUAACAAAUAAAUUGACUAAAUUUGGCCAACAGGAUUUAGCCGAAUAGAAAAGUCCUUAUUUAUAGACUAGUGGUUUCAAAUUUAAAGUUUAGACUAUCGCAUGUAUUUAAAAAAAAAAAAACAAUUGGCUUAAUUUGAUAUAUUUCCUUUUUUUCCUUUUUCAUUUUAUACUGGGUGCCGUUAUUAAGUUUUAUCCUUAUUUUUUGUUGAAAAGAAAAUUGAAAAAAAAUAAUAAUUCCUACAGCUAGCAACUUCUCCACCUUCCCUUCUUCGCAACUAGGGAUGCCAUUGCAAGGUCACCAUCUCAGAUUAAGUCCUCCUUUUAAAAUUGUGUCGUUAUUCAGAAUUGGAAUAUAAUCCUGUACCACUUUGGCCACUUUUGAAGAUGUUCACCGACAAUUUCUCAAAAGCUAUUAAGCUGUACAUCCACAAUAUUAUUGCAUCCAUCCCCAUGUGAGGCUACAGAAAAAUUUUGAAAACGAAACUGGAUAUUUUAUCUCUAACAACAGCUUUCAUACUUCGUUUACCCUGUGUUUCCAAGUUGUGCUAGCUAUUUGCAAACCUUGGAAUAUUACUUCAUCCAAAUCCCUUGCAGAGAAGAGCAAGAUAUGGCUUUGAUCGGAGAAGCCCUCAUCUCCGCUACCAUCCAGACGUUUUGUGACAAAAUUGCUUCGCCUGAGUUCACCGACUUAUUUCGGCAGAAAAAGCUCGAUGAACAACUCCUCAACAAGCUGAAGACGACGCUGUUGACCUUGUCCGUAGUGCUUAAUGAUGCAGAGGAGAAGCAAAUUAAGGAACCUUUAGUGAGAGACUGGCUUGACAAUCUCAGACAUAAUGUCUUGGCUGCGGAGGACUUACUGGAUGAGAUCGACACUGAAGCUUUGCGAUGCAAGCUGGAAGAAGGUGAAGGUCAAACCCACAAUUUAACCAAGAAGGUACGUGAUUUUUAUCAACGCAUGAAUGUUGAGAUGAAAGAUUUAUUAGAAAGAUUAGAACAAUUUGUACAAGAGAAAAGUGCUCUUGGUUUGAGAGAAGGUGCUGGGAGGAAGGUUUCACAAAGAAGAACAACUUCCUUGGUUCAUGAACCUUGUGUCUAUGGUAGAGAUGAAGUCAAAGAAAAUCUGUUACAAAGAAGAGGAUUUGCCGUCAUCUCUUUCUCAUCUGAGUAUCUCGCGGUGUCCUGCCCUGGAGAAAAGGUAUAAGAAUAAGACGGGACAAGAUUGGGCAAAGAUAUCUCACAUUCCUUGCAUCAAGAUAGGAUACGAACUGAUCAUAUAAUAUGAGCUAUUCCAUAUUUCACUCUCAACCCUCAACUCUCAAAUCAAAGUCAGGUGAGGUAUGUGCCUUCUCUUACUUUAAAAAACUGCUUCUCUUCUUCUAAUUGAAUACAAAAACCAAAACACAUAUUCUCUUUCUCUUCCAAAAACCCAAAUACAUGUUGAACAUUGCCAAAUUUGAUCUCCAAAUUCCUAAUUAUUUCACGCUUUUUGUUAUUUUGUUGCUUAGUAAAUUAUGGUUGCUGGUCACAAAUUAUAGUCUGUUAAUAGGUUCAUGCCAUGAAUUAAUCUUUGGACUUUCCCAGGUACUGCAGGUUUGUUAUUAAUGUUGUGGCCUGAUAUUCGUCGUAUCAAUAGGUUGUCUUACGUUGAGGAGAGAGAUCGAUCAGCAAUUACAAAAUUGUUAGUGAAUUUAGCUUGUUUAUCAUCUCUCUCCUUUUGUUUGUUAAGUUUGGUUGUUCUAGGUUAAACCCUUGUCCCCGCAUUUCACAGCAACUCUAUGUUAUUCCACUCUGUUUAGUUUCAUUUAUGUUGUGAUUCGACUGCUGCUGUAUUUUAGAUUUCGUUCAUGUAAUGCUAGGAUGUUUAAUCUCUUAUCUGUGGUGGUAGUUGAGUAGUCUAGCUAAUCCAAUGAUAACUUGUCCCCUGUUUUGUAUUGUUUUUAUUUCUCUGGUAAUGAAAGCACGUUUCUUAUAAAUAAAUAAAAAAUAUUUCAUUGAUAUUCAUUGCUUAUUUUGAACUGCAGAAGCCUACUUUUGUCAGAGUCAGUAGAUGCCAGAAUGAAGUCAUUGCCUAAACACAUUGGCACCCUCACAGCCUUCGACAUUUUGGGAUAUAUGAUCUUCAAAAUCUUGUGUCAUUUGCCUCCCAACCUGCAAUAUUUUCAUAUUUUAAAUUGUGACAGACUGAGCCCUUUGGUGGGAGAUUACUGGGGUUUGCAAGGACUUGGUGGCAAUAUCUUGUAGACGUUUCUCAAGGAACAGCUGCUCAAUACCACUCUUCACACUCUAUAUAUUAUGGCCUGUCAGUCUAUAAUUCCUGCCAGGAGAGGAACUUGAACGCCUCUCUUCGCUGCAAAGGCUACAUAUUUGUGGGUGUGACAAUAUCCAAUUCCUGCCAGAAGAGUGUUUGCUGCCAUCUCUUUCUUAUCUGUGCAUCAACCAUUGUUUUGCCAUGUAGAAAAGGUAUCUCACAUUCCUUGCGUCAAGAUAGGCGAAGAAGUGAUCAUAAGAUAUGAGCUCUCUCUCCCUCUCGCUCACAUACAAUGUACUUAACACAAACACUCAAUCUGAUUUCUAUUAUUAUUUUGCUCAGUAAAUUUUGUUUAAAUUUGCUUUAUUUCUCAUUGCACUUGUUCUGCUGAUCACAACUUAUAUCCUAUUUAAAUCUCAAAUGCUGAAUAAUGAGCAGUCUUUUCGCAGGACAACAUAUCUUCUCUUGGAGAGCUAUUCAUUUGCAAGGUUUCUUUAUGGGUCAUUUCCAGAGGAGGGUUUACUAUUUAAUAGAAAGGUUCACCUGGAAUAUCUCAACUGACACAUUCCCAAAUACAGGCAUUGAAUGCACAACAUUUUGAGGUACUAUUUUUGUAAUAAAAAUGUACUUGAGUCUCAUUUGAGCUAGUUUAAAUUGUAUUCAAUGUCUAUGGAUAACCUGUGAGCUUAAGUUGUAAGAUAAAACUCACAGUAUAUUAUUAGGGUUUAGGGUUCAACUGUUCAACAGGUGAGCUUAAGUUGUACUUUCCUAGGUACUGCAUGUAUAUAAUCUUAGUAUCAACACUUGGUCUUAUGUGGACAAGAGAGAACAUUUGAGGAAUUACAAAAUCUUCUUAGUGAAUUAAUGUUGUUUCAGCUCUGUUUGUCAUCCCUCACAUUUUCUUUGUUAAGCCUUGAUUUUUUAUUAGACAUAAGAAAAAAUGCUUUUAUAAGACAGGAGAUGAAUGCUUUUAUAUGUUGAUGUCGUAGUCAGUCUUCAACCACACUCUGUUUUUAGAAUUCAUUUAUGUUACUAGUUGAGUGCUGCUGUAUUUUAUAUUUCGUUCCUGUAAUGUUUGGAUGUUUAGCUUGAGCAGUCUAGCUUAUCCAGUAGAUAACUUGUUCCCUGUUUUGUAAUGUUUUUGUUUCCUCUAAUGAAAGCAGGUUUUACUUAUCUUGAACUGCAGAAGCCUACUUUUUGACAUAGGUGGCAUGGCACAAACUCGCAUCCGCAUUUCCUUCCCCAUUGGCAUGCUGUCUCAUCUUUUGUAUUCUGUUACCAGCUUGAAGCUUGUGUAGACAUGUUAUGCUCUUGUAAUUCUGAUCACAAACAUCACUUGACAAAUGGAAAGUCACAAUCAGAUCUUUCAGGUGAUCGGGAGGUUUACUUUCUAACAUUUGUUUUCAUUGGGGGGAGGACAACAAUACAGAAUUUAAAAUUUCUGAUAAUCAAUAGUAGUUUGCAUAUAUCAGCUGGGACCUGUAUGACUGUAUUAUGUAAUUAAUUAUUUCUCUUAUUGUUUUGGUACUGUUAAAAGGAGUUAGCCACAAAAUAAAAAAGGAGGCCUCUUAUUUCAUACAAUUUUUCAAAAGUGAUCAUUCAUCCGUUUCUUUUUCAACAAUAGAGGAAUGUAUACUAAUCGUCUGGUCCAUCUGCUGCUUCACUCCCUAGUAGCUUCAUCUCCUGUCCUUUGCUUUAUUUCUGUUGAUGAAUGUUUUGUCUGGGUUAUUUAUUUUCAUUUCAUGUCCAUUGCUUCAUUUCUGUUUGGAUUCUGUCCUGGACUUGAACAAGGGUUAGGUUAGCUGUAUAAUUUGCGGUUUUAUAUACACAACUGUCUACAUUGAUUAAAACCAGCAUUAUUCUAAGGUUCAUUUAGAAUGUAUUAUCACCAAAAUUAUAAAGUAUACUUCUAUUACAAUUAAUUUGUUGAUUCUAAUUUGGACUUGUAGGAACAGACCAAACAUGUUCAUACGUGGCAUUGCUCAAGUCAUCAUCAUUCGGGACAGAGAAUAAGCCUUCAAAUGUCUGCUGAGUCAAUGAACCUUUCUAGAUAUCUCAAGUGUAGUGGAAAUUGAUGAGUUACAAAGGAUUUUUAAACAUUUUCUACUGGAGGCUAGAAAUGCUUCAAAUAAAUGACUGUGUUGCAAUUAUUUUGUAGGAUCAAAGACUCUGCAAAGAGGUAAGAAAGUCAUCAUCAAGUAACUUUGCUCUUCAAACUUUUUAAUUUUAUUUUUAAAUAUCAGUAAUAACUGGGAAAGUUUGCAUUUCCUUAAAUUGCUCAUUCUUACAUCUUUUAUAGUUUGUUGAUCUUGGGCAAGUGGAGAGAGAGGCGUCAAGUGAUACACAACAACCAUUUUCUGUGAGCUGAUUUGAUAAAGAGAAAUGGUAUGCUUUCUUGUCUUAAGCGGUGUGUUCUGCAAUUAUUUGAAACAAAGGAUGCCGCACUUCAAGUUCGAGAAAAUCAGGUAUUUUAGUAUUUUAUUCUGGAGAAAUUUGAUUUAUGUAGAAACUUGAACAUGUAAAUGAGAGAAAAAAAAAUUUAUAUAUAUAUAUAUUAUAUUGUAUAUGCUCUUAAUGAGUUAAUAUGGUGCUUGCUCCUGGUUGGAAAUUUAUGUAGUCAUCUACCUAUGAUCAAAUAAAGAUGAAAAAUAAAAUAAAAUUGAGAGCAUCUUCCUCUCCCCUGCUUUGCUCAUCCCUUGUUCUUCCACUUCAGCCCCACUAUUACACCAUUUUUUCAGCCACAAUUAUAAUAGCUCCAUGAGCAUUAAGUCCUUUUCAAAUUCUGCUGACAUUCAAAAUUGGAAUUGCUGGUGAUAUAUGAUAGCAUCCUUGUCCGACCAAAAAGAAAAAAAAAAAAAGUUGAUAGCAUAUUGUACCAUUUUGGCCAGUGUACGCAAUAUUAUUGCAUCCAACUUUGCAUAUUAACAUCAGUGGCCACAGUUCCAUGAUUUGAGUGCACAGAAAGGUUUCAAAAGUUGUCCCACAAAGAACAGUCGUUCAAAGUGAAAGAGAGUUUUCAAAGCUUAGUUACAAGUUCAUGUUAUUUACAAUAUCAAAAAGCUUUCAUACUUGCUUACAAACCUGUAUUUCCAAGUUCUGCAAACCUUGGAAUAUCACUUCAUCCAAAUCCCCUUCCAAAGCAGGAAAAAUGGCAGCAGCUUUGAUUGGAGAGGCUCUCAUCUCUGCUUCUAUCGAGUUGUUGUGUGACAGAGUUACUUCAGCCGAGUUCAUAGACUUAUUUCAGCAGAAGAAACUUGAUGAAACACUCCUCAUGAAC
rnacentral:lncRNA from 1 species